rnacentral:lncRNA from 1 species
UUUUUUUUUUUGUUUUUUGUUUUUUAAAUUGGACGUACCGAAAAUGUGAAUCAUUUUGAGUGAAUUGUAUAUCAAAAGACUUGAAACAUCGAGAUUAUUUUAUAUCUAAAUUUUGAGACUGUUUAUAGGUGAUUUUGAGUUGAUCGAAGUUGAAUAGUCAUUGUAUACUUCAUGUAUAAUUAAGCUAUCUUCAGCCUUUUGAGUGUAUCAUAAUGUAUAGUCAAUAUAUAGGUCAUGUAUAAGUAAGUUAUAUUGUAUAGUCCGUGUAUUUUGACAAGUUAUAUUAUAUAGUUAGUGUACACUCUCUGUGACUUUUAACUAUUUUUUAAUAUAAAUAAAUUAUAACUAUAUUUAUUAUGAAGUAAUUACUUUAUUAUAUAUCUUUGAAACUAGCCCUACCUGAUCCCCACCAAUCCAUUAUGGUGGCUUAAAAAAAUAUUAAAAAUUAAAAUUAAAGAGUUAUUAAAAAAAAUAGACUUUGCUUUUAAACGUACUAAAAAGAAAAUUAAGAGAAAUAAAUCGGAGCGGAGAGAAUACUCCGUUAUUUAUUAGUUUUAUUUUCUCUUUCAAUUUGUUUUAAAAAGAAAGUUUCUUCCUAAUUUAAUAUUCUUUUUGUUUAUUUUUAUUUGUCCACAAUAGACUUUGCACACUCAAUUAAAGUGUCAAAACGCAACUAAAGUAUCUCAACUUUAGGAGUGUCAUAUACCUGAACUAUCAAUGUGUGGGUUUUUUUUUCUUACCUGAAUUGAAAAAUAAUGUUUGUUAAAAAUAAUAAUAUAUUUACUUUUUAAAUUUUUUGAACCAAAUGUAACAAAAUCAAAAGUAUUUAGUUUUUUUGAAAUUUAUUUUUGGACCAACGUAUUGAUGUAGGGCAUUAUUUAUUAAUUUCACAUAAUUUAAUAACAUAUUUUUUAUCUCAUUUCCAUAAUAAUAUUAAUAAUUAAAGUUUCAUCAUGUCUUUUAAUUUUUAAUUAUUUUUUUUUUGCACAUACAUGUGUUGAAAUAAAAUAUGAAUUUUCAAAUAGUAAUAUUUCAUGGCAUAACCUUCCAAAUUGCUGAAUAAGUGCUGAGUAAGCUCAUUUGUCACCUUUUGAAUUAGGCCCUUUUUCAAAGACUAUACAUAAAUUAUUAGGUUUUUCAAAAUUAAGUUUAUAUAUAUAUAUAGAGAGAAAUAAUAUUCAUAAUUCGAUCACUUAAAAAUGUUGAUACGUAUGUUUUCUUAAAAUGCGAGACUUGUAAUCUCAAAAACAAAAUAAAUAACUUUCUACAACAACUGAAGAUAAUUUGAUGGUGUAAAAAAAUUUACACUAAAAAAAAAAAAAAAUACUUUCUUCCUCUUAAAUAAUUUCUUUCUUCAAAUAAUUAUUAUAUAACCAAAAAUAUUUAAUAACUAUCAACACUUAUCAAAAAAAUAUGAUUACCACGCAAAUAUGUUAAUUUAAUUAUAUAGUGAAAAAAAUAUUACAUUAAUUAUAUUAUUUGAUGAAUUUUUUUUUUGUUUUGUUUUAAAUUUGGCCCCGAUUUAACACCGACCUCCCGCAAUUAGUUAAUCAUAUGCAAAAAUGCAACUAGAGAUUUUAUAUUAUUUUUGUUUGGUCAAGGCUGUCAUUUAUCUGCACAAGAUUGCACAAAAUGCAAAGAUAGAUCCGAAAACUUUUAUAAUAUUAUUCUUUUCGUUUUAAUUGGUUUAUCUCAUUUCUAUUUGACACAAAAUUUUGAAAAAAUCCAAAACUUUUGUAUUUAUAGUCUUGAAUUAAAGAUAUGUAUAUUCUUUAAUUUUGUAAUUUUAUGUAUGUCAGGUGAAAAACUAAAAUUAAAAAAUUAUUAAAAAAAUAAUUUUUUUAUAUGAACUAAAAAAAGGUAUGAGAAACAAAUUAAAACAAAGAGAAUUUUCUGUUUCAAUUAAUUUGUUUUAUUUUCUCUUUCAAAUUGCUUCUUUCUAAAUUUUUUUUGUGAUUUUCCACCCGGUGUUCGGUAUCCACAUUGGAGUUCGACUAACUUUGGAUUCGCACUAGAAAGUCCCACAUUGAGGGGUAAAACGCUCUCUCACAAAUACGACUCCAUACCAAGGCCUUUUCCUAAUUUAAUAUUCUCUUUAGUUAUUUUUUCUUGUCCAUGAUAGACUUGCACACUGAGCAAAUGGUCAAAAACAUAUAUAAAGUAUCCCAGUUUUUUGAGUUACAUAUCUGAACCAUCAAUGUGUGUAAGCUUUCUAUAUAAAUUGAAAAAUAAUGUGUUUAAAAAGAAAAGAAACGAUAUGUUAAUUAGGAAAAUGAUAUAAUGACCCAAAAGUAAUAAUAGAAGCAUUUUUAGAUCGAUAUAUUGAUAAGUGCAUAUGUUAAAGAUUUAUUUAUUUUAACCCUUUUUCGUAAUAAUAAUAAUAGAAGUUUCAUUAUGUCUUUUAAUUUAAUUUUUUUUUUUUGCACAUACAUGUGUAAAAUUCUUUUAUGAAUAUAAUCUAACACUUCCAAAUUGUUGAACAAGCGGUGACUAAGCUCAUUCUGUCACUUUUUGUGAAUAUAAACAUGGAUACCUCAUCUAAUUAAUACUCCAUCUAAACUUGUGAGGCUAAUUAAAUUUAUUUAUUACUCCACAAUUAAACUUGUCAGUCCCAUUUGCAAUUUCUUUUCUCUUAUCACCUUAAAAUACCAUUAAAGAUUCCUCAUAAAAAUCUAAUUAUUUAAGCCCUCACAUUUAAUUUGUUUAAUUAACAUAAUCAUUUCUUUAGAACAAUGACACAAUUUGCACAGCCUGUGAUCCAAUACUCUGUAUAAAAAAAUCCAAGCCUUGCAUUCUCUCUAUAAGUUAAUCUUCUUUGUUUAUAGUUAAUGUGGAUAAUCUUGGAAAAUUUUAUAGCAUUCACCUAAAAUCACAAGUAAAUCAUUAGACAGUGAUAUCAAUGUAUAAGAAUGAUCGGAAUACUAAUAUUUAUCCAUGGUAAUACUUGAUCGAAGAAGACAAGAUCUUCCAAACAUUGAAGAUAGUUCUUUGUGAUGUUCCCUAUCUGAGAUGGAGAGAAAUAAAAGAACGUUGUCUUUCGAUUUAGGGACCAUGCUUAUUUAAGGAUUCUAAAGUACCAUUUUUAGGUUGGAAAUGUACCUUUUCAGUAAGUCUCCAUCAGACUUAAGAAAAGGUUUAUGAAUUUUCAAAUUUUCUAAAAUAAAUUCAUAUUAAUAUGUAUUUACUUUUUAGAUCUGAAACUUUAAUAUUUUAUUAGAUCAUACAACGAGCUCUUUUAUUAAUAAUAUAUCUAUGUAUAAUAUGUUAAUAUGUGAGUCCACAAAAUAGAAAUUACUAACAGAUAAAUAUUCUACGAAAGAAGAUUACAUUUAUAAAGCAAAAGUCCAUGCUUUUGUUUUUAUGAUAUGCGUCUCUUUGUAAAAGCUUUGACAAAAUGGAAUUUGUAUCGCGUAGAGUUCAACAUCAUAUUCAGUGAAAUUUCAUUAGUGGGAUAUAAAAAUAGUAGAGUGUACGCAUAUUUUAUCUUUAUCUUGUGGGGGUGGAGAGGUUAUUUUAGAAAAAUUCUCGACUCAAAUGCAAUAAAUCAAGUAGAAAAAAGAAACAAUGAAGAAACAUAACAACUAAUAAGGAAAGAAGUGCAAAUCUUACAAGAGAGGAACAAUAACAUAACAACAAAAUAGUGUGAGAACUGAACUACAAUAAACAACUACAGAUGAUGAUAGAUAUAAAAAACAAGACCUACAAGCAUAUGGUUAAUACCUACACCCAUCAAAAAUCAAGACAGCACUUCACUACCUACAAAUCUUUUCUAUCAUAAUUUGUGACCUCUCCACACCCCCACCCCCCCAAUCUAAGAUCAUGUCCUCAGUAAUCUGAAAUUGUGUCAUGUCAUGUCUAAUCACCUCUCCCUAAUACUCUUUUUGACCUACCUCUACCCUCAGAGGCAGAGUUAGGUGCGGGUUCAUGGGUUCGGACGAACCCACUAGUUUUUCGUAGACCCUAUAUUUGUAUUAGAAAAUUAAAAUUUUUUUAUGUAUAUUAACUUGUGAACCCCCAAACUCAUAAUCUUGGCUCCGCCUCUGUCUACCCUCUCUCCUUGUACCCACUAUAUCCAACAUCUCACACCUCCUCACUAGGGGAUCUUCACAUCUUUUCACAUGCUCAAACCAUCUCAAUCUCGCUACCCUUAGCUUGUCCACCACGGAGGUCACUCUCAUCCUAACUUGUUCUUAAUAUCCUCAUUUCUAAACUUAUCUCGUUUAGUAUAUCACACAUCCAUCCAUCUCAGGAUUCUUAUUUUUGCAACUUGCAAAGAGCCCGUAAAAAGAAAUGAAUGUGUUCCCUAUUAGAAGUUUUGUAAUUCCCAAAACGUGAAAACGGGAUUUUGAUCAAUGAUGGAGAAAUUCAUACAUUCAUCAACUCAUCUUUCUUAAUCAUUAAAUUUGUUUUAUUCAGCGGUAGUAAAUAUACAUAUUAAUAAAGAGUGUUAAAAUUUUUGCAAACAUAGUUAAUUAUCAUUAGAUCAAUAUUGCUAUAGGUUUUAGAGACAUUUACAAAAAGUGCUAAUUGCCUUUAAAAAUAAAUAUUUAAUGACAAUUAAGUUUUUGUCGCUAAUUAAUUGCCACUAAAAAUUAGUUAUUAGGUAGCAACCUCAUCACCUUUAUAUGAAAUUGCUCCCUUCUUCUCAAAUAUCCUAAGCUCUAUAAUUGAAAAAUUAUAACUCUAUUAUUCUUUCUUUGAUACAGGAAAAACAAAAACUAGGUAUAAUUUUUUUUUCUUUUAUCAUUUUGAUCAAUUGAAUUGAACUAGGUGGCUUGUAGAUUGUAGAAAUCUCACGUCUAGGAUUAGAGAAAUCAAGGAUUGUAUUGAUGAAAAUAAUGUUGAGUUACAACCUCCUUAUAUAUGAGAGAAUUGUAGAGUCCUAAGUUAACUAUAAUUAGAAUCCUACUACAAUACAUAUUACUACUAUAUAAUAAUAAUAAUGCAAAUAUAAAUAAUCUAAUCCUUGUUGUACUAUAAUCCUAAUCAUAAUCUAAUCGUAGUCGUAAUAUAAUCCUAAUUAAUAUAAGUAAUCUAAUCCUAGUGCGACUCUAAUUCUAGAGCAGUGCUGGAAACUCGUCAAUCAGCUUCGUUGGACCUGUUCCUUUGACAUGUUCCAAUCAUCAGCUUCCUUCUUGUUCAACAUUCCCCUCAAGCUAGUGAGUAGAGGGAACGGUUACUCCUAGCUUGAUUCGAAUACGCAGCAAAAAAAACUUUGAAAACCCAACAAAAACUUGUUUUGUCAAUGCUUCGGUAUGAAUGUGAUGUCUAGUCGUUGCUUGUGAUAGUUCAUCUGCAGAUUCAUACUCGUAGUUCCACCAGUAAAAACACUUAAGAGCGGUAUGAUUAUUUCUACCAUAGAUUUGACAUGACUCAAUAUUAUUCUUCUCCUUAUUUUCGCUUUGGAAACUUUUAUUGUUCUAGAACCUGGUCCAUAUCGACUGUUUUGAGAACAUGUUCCCUGUCCAGCAGGCUUGAGACCUGUUUCUCUGGAGUUGAUGUUGUUGUUUCCUCUUCCCCUGCCUUUUUGAGCAGAUAAUACCAUGUUGUGAUUUUGUUGUGACACCUCUUUUUCAUCUUCUCUUUUAUCAAAACUCGUGAGAGCAUUAAUAAAUUGAUUAAGAGUGGAAUAUGGUGCCUUACCUAAUAUGACAAAAGUCUUGUAUUUGAGACCUAAACCUCUAGCAAAAUUAAUUACUUUUGUUGCUUAAAUAUAAGCUUUUUCCAAGCAUUCCCACAUCUCCUUGGCAGUUGAGCAGCCCACAAUUAGGUACAUGCUUUCUUUGGUCAAGGUGUUUGAGAUCCAACUCCUUAGCAACACAUCUUUCUCCUUCCAAUCAUCAAUGGUGCCACUAUCUUUUGCAUCCUUCCUAACCGCUACAACUUCCCUAACAGUCUGUCCAGUGGAACAACUACUUUUACUUGGUUCAUAGAUGAGAUACGUCAGUUUCAUCACCUGAAUCAAUUUGGAUAUUUGUGUCCUCUUUAUGAGGUAGUUUGCUGGCUUAAGUAUAAUGGAGCAAGCGACAAUGAUUUAGUGAAGUGAGGAGGUUGACAUGGUUUUGGUAGAAGGGGCUAUUGCAAGGUGUUUUUUUUUUUUAUCAAUACUCAGAAAGCGGAAGAGCUUUUAUGCUCUGUUACCAUGUAAAAUUAGGUCUUGGGCCUAACUCACACCCCAAAAGCUAGCUCAAAGAGAGGAGGAUUGCCCAACCCUUAUAAGGAGUCCAUCUCACGUCUAGGAUUAGAGAAAUCAAGGAUUGUAUUGAUGAAAAUAAUGUUGAGUUACAACCUCCUUAUAUAUGAGAGAAUUGUAGAGUCCUAAGUUAACUAUACUUAGAGUCCUACUACAAUACAUAUUACUACUAUAUAAUAAUAAUAAUGCAAAUAUAAAUAAUCUAAUCCUAGUUGUACUAUAAUCCUAAUCAUAAUCUAAUCCUAGUCGUAAUAUAAUCCUAAUUAAUAUAAGUAGUCUAAUCCUAGAGCGACUCUAAUUCUAGAGCAGUGCUGGAAACUCGUCAGUCAGCUUCGUUGGACCUGUUCCAAUCGUCAGCUUCCUUCUUCUUCAACAUAGAUAAGUACACAAUUAUUUCUGAGUUUGGAUUUGACAAUUUAUGAUAGUUUAAUUUGAAUCUUUAACAUUAUUACUAUGAGGAAUUUUAUAUAGGUUUUGGGUCAAGAUAUUCCAGUCAAAAUGGAUUCUAAAAUAUUUUUUGAUUAUUGGAAUAUCUUAAACCAAAACAUUCUUGCAUAUAUAGUUUUAUAGAAACUAUUUUAAUGUCAUAUAUUAAACAUAAAUGUUAUAAAUCUAUUUGUAAGACAAUCUAAAUAUGAUAUUCAAUAACAAUAUAUUAAGAGAAAAAGCAUAAAAGUAUUCCAGACUUGAUCCAAAUUUUCAUUUACGUAUUUUUACUUUGUGGGGUUCUAUUAUCCUUUUGAAUAAUUGCGUGGUAAAAAUUUUGUUAAGAAUAUUUAAACUUUAAAAGAUUAAUUUUAUUUUUUGAUAAAGGGGUGCACCAAAAAACUUAAAAUCAAAACAUGCAAUAUUUAUACUAAUUCAAACGAGGUCUUAGUGAAAAUACAAGCAAAGACAUUUAUCAACAAUUGAUUAAAUGUCAUACAAUAUAAUAUUGCUAAAGCUUCUAAUACAAUUUAUUUAGACUAUUUAAUAAUUAAAAGCUUCAUGUAGGAAAAGUAUUCGCUAAACUAGUGUACUUGUCCGCGAUUCGCAAGGUUAUAAGAAAAACUUAAAUAUAUUUUAAAUUAAUUAAUUUCAUUAUUUGAUAAAUGUUUUAAUAAAUAAUAUAAUAAAAGAGAGAAACACAAAUUAAAAUACGACUUCGAUAUUACUUAUUCGAAAAAAUUGCUAAAAAUAAAUUUUCAUACUGAUUAAAAAAGUUGAAAAUAUAAACGUUGAUAUGAAAAGUUAAAAAGUUUCUCUCUCUCAAUCUAUUAUUAUAAUAUUAUCGUGGUAAUUAUUAUAAAUAAAUUUGAGUAAUAACUGUACAAAGGAUAACACCUUCUUUAAUGUAGAAAAAAUAAAAGAAACUUUUAUUUGCUUUCAAUAAUAAUAAAUUUAAUACACAUUAAUCAUAUAUUCACAUUUAUUAUGGUAAAAAGAAAAAAGAAAAAAAAUAUUACUCUUAUUAUCCUUAUUUACACUCCAUUUAUGUUGUUAAGAAGAAAAUUAAUUUAUAUAUAUGAUAUAUUUUUUUAACACUUUUAACAUAUAUUUGUUAUUGAGAAAAUUAAAUUAUGGAAUUUAAAGUUUUUCUCGAAAAAAAAAGAGAGUUAAGGAAUUUUUUUUUUUAGUUUUAUCUCUCUCUCUCUCUAUAUAUAUAUAUAAUCUUAAUUUUACUAUACAUAUAAAUUUGAUCAUUUUUUUAUAAAUAUUUUUAUAAUUCCCCUAUUUAUAGGACACCAAUAUGAAAUAUCAAAUGAUAAUAUGAAUAUGAUUAUUAAUAUAAUUUAGGAGUUAUGAUCAUCAAAAGUCAUUAAAGCACGGGACAUAAAGAUACUUGAAUUUUUAUAUUAAAAAUUAUGAACCAAUAGAGGAGCAGUAAUUGAUAAACAAUUUUACUAAAUAAUUUUUAUCAUAAACAAAUACUUUUGUAUUUUAAUUUCUGACCAAACAAAUUGUAAUAAUUAUCUUUGAAAAUCUCAAAAACUUGAGAACUUCUAAUAUUAAUAAUAAUAAAAAAAACUAAGAAUAUGAAGACUAUAAAUUUCCAUAUCAAUAAAUAUCUUUUUAUAAAUUAUACAAUAUUUUAAAAAUUAUGAAUUAACUUUGCAUUCUCAUGCUCUAUCAUAAUAGUUAUUAAAAAUUGAUUUACAUGACUACAAAAUUAUAUACACAUGCUAUAUUGAGUAGCAUACAUGUAUGUGUUGACUUUCUUUUCAGCUUUUAUUUUCAUAAAAAAACUAAAAAUAUGAAGACUACAAAGUUUUGUGUCUUCUAUUCUCUCUCAUGCUCUAGGCGCAUGUUAGUCUAAAUGUGCACUAGAAGUGAUAACCAUGGCGAGAGGGCGAGCAAAGACACAACAACCACAGGCGUAGGGGCGAGGAAAAAGGCGAGCACGAGGAAGACCUAAAAGUGAUCCCAUUGUUACGAUUGGUAGUAUGGUUAAACCUGUGCAGAACCAACCGGAACUGGUUGAAGGUAUUUCAACCUCAAUCGUGGAUGAGGGGGAGAAGAGCGGUACAGAUGAUACCACUAGCUCGGGAGUGGUUAAGAGACUACAACUUACCCCUACCGGAGUAAUAUGACAGGCUGUGAAGACUCUCGAGCUGGAGAACAAGGUGAAAUCAAUGGAACAAUAGAAAUAAUGACUGAGAUUGGGCAAGCUGAAAGGAUAACACAGAAGGGCAAAGAGAAAUCAAAUCCAAAUCUUACGACCUGGGCAAGUCUAUUUCGCAAUAAUAGAUCUACAUCGACUGGUAUGUCACUUUCUUAUAGAUCUACAUUGACUGGUAUGUCACUUUCUUAUGUUCCACCUCAAAUUUUAGAAGGACACAUGGUUGCUCAACUGGAUAAACAAAAGGUGGAACCAGAGAUCCAGAAAUGGAAAUAUGCUUUGAUAACAUAUUAUACAAGACACUAUUCUAUUAACAAUAGACCUAUCAUCUUGAAGGCUAUUACAUUAUCAAAUUCCAAUCCAUUGAGGAUAUGCAGGCUAGAUACUAUACAAGACACUAUUCUAUUAACAAUAGACCUAUCAUCUUGAAACAGUGGACUCCAAAUUUUGAUUUCAGUGUUGAGUUCCUAAGUGAAAUACCUCUAUGGGUGUUGUUUCCAAACUUACCAAUGAACUAUUGGGGAUGUGGAUCCCUAAGUAGAAUUGUCAGUCUGGUUGGAAACCCCAUUUAUGCUGAUGAGUGCACCUCUAAACAAACCAGGAUUUCAUAUGCUAGAAUGUUUAUUGAGGUAAAUGUGACUAAAGCACUGCCCACACAGAUUACCAUUAUGGAUCCAAAUGGUGAACAAUAUGUCCAAAAGGUAGAGUAUGAUUGGAAACCGGAAUUUUGUGACAAAUGUAUAAGGGUAGGUCAUAAAUGUAUUGAGCAACAAGUGGCAGCACCCCAAGUACAGAUGAGAAGAAGACAACAAAAAAAUGUUACUCAGGUAUGGAAGCAUAAAAAGCUAGUGACUAAACAAGGGACUAUUAUUGAGAGCAACAAAGAUGAGCAACAAGUUUCCCCAAAGGCAGGGUAAGAGACAAGCAAGCAAAAUACUAAUGAUAGUUUACAUUUGAGUAAUUUCCCUGAACUCUUAGUGAAGAAUUAUUUUUCCCCUUUGAGCAGUGAGACACGCAACUCGUUUAAUAGACCUCCUGAAGCAAGGUCUUUAUCUGUUACGAUAUGAAUUGGUUGUGUUGGAACAUUAGAGGGAUCAAUAAAAGAUACAAACAAAAGGAGUUGAAUAAUUGGAUUGCCAGGAAGAAGCUACAAUUUGUUUGUUUAGUAGAGACUAGAGUUAAAGUUCAUAAAGCUGCAAAAAUAGUAAAUAACUUAGCAUUUGGAUGGAGUAGUCUUCAUAACUAUAACCAGGCUGAGAAUGGGAGAGUAUGGGUGCUAUGAGAUCCUAAUUUUUAUGAUGUAACUAUGUUAAAUGAGGAGGCACAAUUCAUUCACUGUAAAGUGAAGGGGAAAACUGAUGACUUUGAAGCUUAUGUUACUAUCGUAUAUGGGUUAUAACACCAUGGAACAAAGGAAAACUCUAUGGCAAGGAAUUGAGAAAGUGGCACAAGGCAUCAAUGGAGAAUGGAUCUUGUAGGGGGAUUACAAUGCUAUUAUAUCCCAAAAUGAUAGGCUGAUGGGAAACCCUGUCACUCAGGCUGACAUACAAGAUUUUUCUCAAUGCAUUAAUAAUCUACAAUUAAAUGAAUUGGCUUGGAGGGGUGAGUACUAUACUAGGUCGAAUAAGCAAGUAGGUACUGAUAGAAUAUGGAGUAGAAUUGAUAGAGCUUUUGGCAAUACAAGUUGGAUGAUGAAAUGGGGACAUGUCCAAACUGAAUAUGAUUUGCCUUACAUAUCAGAUCACGCGCCUAUGUUCCUACAACUAGCUGAUACACCUAAAGGAGGUCCAUUACAUUUCAGAUUUUUUAGCAUCUGGACUGAACAUCCUAAAUUCUUAAGUAUGGUGGAAAAGAUUUGGAGGAGACAAGUGAAUACGAAUGGUAUGCAAAUGAUUUGGAUCAAGCUUAAGUUGUUGAAACCAAGGCUGAAAGACCUUAAUAUUAAGGAAUACAAAACAGUAAGGAAUAAUAUUGAUCAAGCCAGACUGGAGUUAAAGAGGAUUCAAACACAAAUAGCUCUAAAAUGCAGUGAAGGGUUGGUUAGGCAAGAGAGGGUAGUCCUUCAAAGUUUGGAGAAAUGGUCCAUGAUCAAAAAGAGUAUUCUAAGGCAGAAAUCUAGAGUCACUUGGAUAAAGCUAGGAGACUCAAACAUAAAAUAUUUCUCAGCAGUUAUGAAAGAUAGAUCCCAGAAGAAAAUGAUUGGUAGUAUCCAAGCUCUGAAUGGAGAUAGAUUAUAGGAUCCUAAAAUAUACAAACAGAAAUUAUCUUCUUUUAUCAAAGUCUAAUGGGAGCAUCUUAGAAAAAUCUACCAGCAGUUGAUAGAAGAGUAAUGAAAUAAUGCCCUGGAUUGGCACAUCACCAACAACUGAAGUUGUGGAAGAGGUGAAUGAUUAAGAAAUCUGGGAAGGAUUAAAAAGCAUAGCAUAGGAUAAAGCUCCUGGAAUUGAUGGCUAUACUGCAUGUGUUUUCAAAAAGGCUUGGCAGGUGGUGAAAGAAGAUGUGUACUCAACAGUUAAAGAUUUCUUUAAGACAGGUACAAUGUGUAAGAUUAUAAAUUGCACUACCAUUACUCUUGUACCUAAAAUCCCUAACCCUGUCACUGUAAAAGAUUUUAGACCAAUUGCUUGUUGUACUGUCCUAUAUAAGAUUAUUGCAAAAGUAAUGGCAACCAGAAUGCAGAAGAUUAUGCCAAGUAUCAUCUGUGAGGCUCAGGCAGGGUUCAUCCCAGGUAGAAGAAUUUGUGAUAACAUCAUUCUAGCUCAGGAUCUGGUACAAGCUUACACUAGAAAACAUAUAUCUGCAAGAUGUAUGAUUAAAAUUGAUCUCCAAAAAGCUUAUGACUCAGUAGAAUGGAUAUAUUUAGAACAAGUUCUGGGGGAAUUAUGUUUCCCUGCACAGUUCAGAAGGUGGAUAAUGCAAUGUGUCACCACUGUUAACUACACAGUGCUGGUGAAUGGUGCCCCUACUGACUCAUUUGAUGCUGCCAAAGGAUUGAGACAAGGAGAUCCAAUCUCUCCCUACCUAUUUGCAAUAGUCAUGGAGUACUUAAGUAGAAAUCUUAACAAUAUGAAGACUGAGAAGAGAUUCAAAUUUCACCCUCGAUGUGCAAAGCUAGGAAUUACUUAUCUAAGUUUUGCAGAUGAUCUUCUUCUUUUCUCUAAAGGGGACGUUGUUUCUAUGACGGCCAUGCAUAAAGUCUUUAUGGUUUUCUCUAAAGCAUCAGGCUUACAAGAAAAUAUGAAUAAAAGCUCAAUCUAUUUUAGAGGUGUGGCACAAUCUGAGAGAGAUAGAAUCCUACCGGUGUUAGGAUACACUCUGGGAGAUUUACCUUUUAAGUAUCUAGGAAUUCUUCUAUCAACAAAGAAAUUAACCUUGUUGCAGUAGCAACCACUGAUUAAGAAAAUGGCAGGGAGAAUAAUUUUAUGGACUGCAAAGAAAUUGUCCUAUGCAGGGAGAGUGCAACUGGUACGAAGUGUCUUAUUUGGUAUUCAAGCAUAUUGGGCUCAAUUGUUUUUACUACCUACCAAGGUGAUCAAGACUAUCGAAGCAUAUUAUAGAAGUUAUGUGUGGUCUGGAGCUAAUGUAAUCACCAAAAGAGCAUUAGUUGCAUGGGAUAAGGUAUGUGGUCCUAAAUCAGCUAGAGGACUUAAUCUGCUUAAUAUUCAUAUAUGAAACAAAGCUGCUAUAGCCAAACUGCAUUGGGAUCUAGCAAAUAAGCAGGAUAAGUUAUGGAUCAAAUGGAUACAUGCCUACUACAUCAAAAAUGAUAUAGUUGAUGUUAUUUCUGGCCAACCGUGUUGGAUGGUGAGGAAAAUUAUUGAGGCAGGGAAGCUGUUUGAACCACUGCAAUUGCACAAGAAAGCUGGACAGGGCAUGACUAAAACUAUCUAUUUACAGCUAAUUGGAGAUCUGGAAAGGGUGAAAUGAAAAGGACUGCUUCUUCAAAAUCAAGCACGACCUAAAGCUGUGUUUGCAUUAUGGUUGUGUUUACAUGGAAGAAUGAUGACUGUUGAUAGAUUGAUCAAAUGGGGUCUGCCUGCAGAUCCAAAAUGUGUGUUAUGCAUGAACUGUGAUGAAGAUAGAGAUCAUUUAUUUGCUAUGUGCCCAUAUGGAAUCCAAGUAUGGAAUAUACUACUAUGAUGGAUUGGCCAACCUGCAAUCACUUCUCAAACGUGGGGUCAUUUCUUAGAUUGGAUCAUCAAAUGUGGUAAAGGGCAGUCAAAGUACGCUCGACUCUUCAGGAUGGUAUCCAGAGAAAUAGUCUAUACAGUCUGGACUGAAAGGAAUCUGCGAGUGUUUGAAAAGAGAAGUCGUGAUAGUGAAUGUAUUGCCCGGGAGAUAGCUUAUAUAUGCAGUGUUAGAGCCAUGCAUGAUCUCGCUGUUUUAAUUCAAAAUUUUAAGUUUUGAGUUGUGUGCAUAGAUUGUAGUCGAUAGUGAACUUUUAUUGAAGAUAGUCAGUUGAGUUGUGGCUGAACUAUGGGUUUGUAAUGUUUGCUAUGGUGAUUAAUAAAAUCAUGUUAGUUACCAAAAAGAAUAAACAUUUUUUUUUAUAAAUUAUGCAAUAUUAUAAAAAUUAUGAAUUAACUUUACUUUCUCACGUUCUAUCAUAAUAGUUAUUAAAAGUUGAUUUACAUGACUACAAAAUUAUAUAUACAUGCUUUAUUGAGUAGCAUACAUGUGUGUGUUGAUUUUCUUUUCAGGUUCUAUUUUCAAAAAUAUCCUGACAUGAAAACAAAAUAAGUUAAUCAUACAACAACAACAAUAAUGACAAAAAUAUAAAAAUGAAGUUAACUAAUCAAAUAAAAACUUUAAAAAAUAUUUAAUUAUGAGUUAAAGAUAAAGGAAGGAUCUUGUUAUCAAUAUUACAUAAUACUCCAAAAACUACAAAAAGAAGAAAAAAAAAUCUCUAUAAACUACAAAGAGAAGCAAAAAGAAAAAACCAAGCAGUUUUUUAUAAAACAAAAUUGUGAUUCAUAAUAUCAUGAAUUCAAAAUUAAUAAUAUUGAAUGUAUAAUUGUAACAGAGAAAAAAUGAUAACCAUAUUAGGCAUAUCAAAUAGUUUACCUUGUAAAAUUAAAUUGCACAGAAAUAUCUAAACAAUCUUCAUCCUGCAAAAUCAGAUCAAAGAAUUAAGACAAAAAAUUAACCAAUAAAAGAUGAAGAAUAAGGAAAAAUGUAAAAAAUAUAAUCAUCACAUAUGUCUCAAAAUAGAUUUUUAUAAAUGUAGAUUUUGGGAUGUCAUAAAUUUGUAUAUUAAAUUACUUGAGGGUUAUGAAUAUGAAAGGUUAGGAGUUAUGAAAUUUAUAAGGAGUAAAAUUUAUGUAAUUGAAGAGGUAAGAAAAUAAAAUAAUAAAAAGAAAUAAGAGAAAAAUAGCAAUAAAAUCACAAAAAAAGAUAAAUAAGAAUGAAGCCCUUACAGAACGCCACAUCACCGUUUUCAUAUUCAGUUUUAUUAUAAUAUACAGAUUGUGGGCAUUUUAGUAUUCGAUCUUUACCUUUUUACAUUCUCUUAGUUGAUGUUAUGGGUUGUACCACUUGUAUUAGGAUGGAGGGUAAUUAACGAUUCAUGUUUCACUUAUUCGUGGAUUCUCCACAACUGUCUAUUUCUUUGCAUUUUAGGGGUCUUUUCUCAUCAAAAUCGUUUUCUGGUCCUUGUGAACGUUGUUUGGUGGAAACUUUUUUUUUUAGCUUCCAGAGAUUUCUAUUGUUUUGUUGAUUUUAAUACGUAAUGUUAUCGAAAUGUUUGAUAUGAAGUCAUUUGAAGAAAUUUAAUACACAACUCUUAACUUGUUGGUAUCCAAUGUUGGGCAGUAAAAAUCUGUACAUAUUUGUCCUUUUUUUUUGCCUGAAUGUGAUGAUCCAUUGGUAUAUAUGUCAUGUUAUAUUUCUGAACAUAUAUAUAUAUAUAUAUAAAGAACACAUUUUAUUUAAUUUAGCCCUUUUAUGAGACUUUAAUUUGUUAAUUUGAUAUAGUUCAAGUGCAUUUUGUGUGAUUCUUCUUAGUGAUAUAACCUGAUCAAGAAGGUUUCUCCGCAAGGUUCAUCCAUCGAACGUAUAAUCAAGUCGUAAGGCAUGGAGAAAAUACCUCGAGCUAAUGUUAAAAUAUCAGGUGCUCGGCGUUGAAAUCUCAAACUUUGCAUUUCUUGAAAGCUAUAUGUACAAUUUUCACUCCAGUCCAUCACCCAUAGAAAAAGGAUGAUAGGAAGAAGAUCUACUUUUCCUUAGCCUUAUCACUGUAACAAAAAUGAUCUUUAACGAUAAUUAUAAAUGACAGUAGUUUAAUUGUCGCAAAAUGUGUUUUUUAAGACAAUUAUUACUAUCAAUUACAUUUUAACACUCUAAAUCUCGUUAAAGUCUAUAGUGACAUUGGAUCCAAUAUAAUUAACUAAUGUCAAUGAAUACUCUAGCAAUCUUUGUUAAUGUGCAUAUAAAAAUUAUUUUUGUUGCAGUUUACAGCAUAAGUAGACAAGUAACUUUUUUGACAAUUGUACCAAUAAUUUUUUAUUCUUUUUUGGGCAUUGUAGCAAUGGCGACAAGUUGCUAUUAUUGGAUUCUUUAGCAAAGAUUUUUGUUCUAUAAAUAACAGUAAAUUAUUCAAAUAUUUCUGCCAUGAAAUUUAUUCUGUCUUUUAUGAGAAGUCAAAGCUGAAAAGUAUGGUUUUUGGUACCAAUUCUUUCUGGCCUUAUAUAUAGUCAACUGUCCCCUCUUUAAACUUAUCACCAUAUUUCAUUUAAGACAUUCGAAUUAAGUUAUUUUCAAUUAAAUUCUGCAUUAAUUAUACACAUCAAUCUCAAAGAGAAAACACCUAAUUUUGUAAAAACACAAAAAAAAAAAGAAGUUAAAAAUUGAUCUGAAAAUAUCUAAUUGAAACACUUCAUCAGUUGUUAAGGUGUUCAAUUAGAACAUGAUAUAUUACAAAUUGAUUUGACAAAUCUUAGAAUAUUUCUUGUUAUCGUUGAAAUUAUGUCUCCUUCAAAAUGCCAUAAAGCACACAUAAUUGAAGAUCCUACGAACAUAUUCCACUAAAUGACAUAGUGGCAAAAUACAUGCAUGCAUGAGAUAUAUAGUCAAAUAAUCAGAUUGGUUCAAGUAUGAGCUCUGAAUAUGAAAAAAAAAAUCACUAUGAGUGUCACCCUCUAACGGGCCUUGUAAUGUGCGAUCAAGAUUGGGUGGGAAAUAGGGUUGGGCAUAAACACCGGAUAACCGAAACACCGAAUCAAAUCAAAUUAUUUUGGUAUUUCGAUUUUUGGUUCGGUAUUCGAUAUAUAUUUUUGUAAUUUUUCGUAUUUCAAUUCAGUUUUCGAUAUGUAAUUUUGUAUUAUUCGAUAUUUUGAUUUACCGAAAUAUACUAUAUUAUAUUAUAUUAUUAAUAUUAUAUUAAUUAGUAAUAUUAAAUAAUAAAACUAUAGACAAAAUUAGGUCAAACUUUUUACUUUUCAGCUUUUAGCCUUUUACUUUUCAAACUUUUCACUUUUGAGAUUUUUGUUUUCAAUCUUUUCUUAGCAGUUAGCCGCACAGCCGCACAUCAGUCACUUUAUUUUCCCACUUUCCACUUCCGGCGACGGCCGAUCAGCAACAAGCCAACGACGACCGGCCGACCAGCAAGCAGCAGGCCAACACGCAGGCGACACCCAGCAGGCAGGCAGCUCGCAGCACUGCAGCAGCCGACCAGCUCACGCAGCAACCAACCAGCAGCACGCAACAGCCGACCGGCGACCACCAGCGACCGAACUAACAAAAAUCGAACUGAAAUAACAUAAAUUGAACCGAAAUAAUAAAAAUCAAACCGAACCGAAAUAAUUUAGUUCGGUGUUCGGUACACGUGGUACAAGAAUCAAAAACCGAAAAAACCGGAAAAAAAAAUCUAAAUUGAACCGAAUUACCGAAUGUCCAACCCUAGUGGGAAACCAAAAAUAAAUUAGACUACUUUUUAUAUGAAGAAAAAAAGAGCAUAAAUUGCAUUAGAGCAGUCAAAAUGGGCUUAGCCCAUGGGGCCGGUCCAACCCAACCCCGUUAUUGGGGUAGGGUUGGGAUAGGAUUUUUCAAGCCCUUUUAAAACUAGGGCUUAUAAGCCCAGCCCAUAUAAGCCUUUGGCCUUUGAGGCUUGAUUGGGGGUGGACCAGGGUCGGCCCAUGGGCCAAAACUUUUUAUUAGGGUAACUUACAAUAAUCUAACUAAUAUGUAAUAUAAUUAUUUAAAUACACGCUAUGUCGUUAUAUUAUGAAUCUUACCAGAUUUUGGUACGUCCAAAUACAUAUAUCUCGGAAUAUAUUGACUCAAAAUUAGGUUAAUAUGUUCUAGAUACACUCUAUCAAAGUAGAUUCGCAUGUAUCUAGGAUGCAUAGACAAAAUCUCGCACCCUCGCCUCCCUCCAAUCUUGCUUAUCACUUACUUAUCUCACUCGCGUAUCUGGUAUGUGAGAUACAUGCUAAUUACACUAGGCUUUUUGCUAAUGUUAUUAAAACAACACCAUCGUUUAUCAUAUUUGAUUUGAAAAUCUUCUCAUUUUCUUGAUGUUAUAGAAUAAUUAGUUUGAAAAGAAAAAAAAGAAAAAAAAAGAAGGGCUAGCCCGCCCUAGCCCUCGGCCCUUCAAGGGUUGGGUUGGGUUGAGCAUAUUCAGGCAUGUUAUUAAAACAACACCAUCGUUUAUCAUAUUUGAUUUGAAAAUCUUCUCAUUUUCUUGAUGUUAUAGAAUAAUUAGUUUGAAAGAAAAAAGAAAAAAAAGAAGGGCUAGCCCGCCCUAGCCCUCGGCCCUUCAAGGGUUGGGUUGGGUUGAGCAUAUUCAGGCCCUUUCGAAUGAAGGGCCAGCCCGCCCCAGCCCUUCAAAUUCCUUGGCCCACGAGGCUUGGGCCAGGUGGGGCUGGCCGGCCCUUUUUGACAGCUCUAAAUUGCAUGAGGAAAAAUGAGUGAGGGAAUUAGUAGAAUCAAAGAAUCAGAUUUUAUUCUCACAUCGUCAAAUGUGUAUAUAUAUAAAUAGUAGUGUUCUUACAUUGUCUAUAUAGCUCAAAAUAAAAAUAAGAUUAUAUAGAAGCAUAUGAAGAAAUGAUCAUAAAAGAAAAGGGUGUCUUACAUGAAGGGUAAGUGCCUAUUUGAUAGCCAAGGAUGACUUGCCUGCAUCAUUAAUUAAUUCUUGAGGCUAGCUUGUGAUAUAUCAUGUAUAUGACAUGUAUACAAGCAUUCUUCUUUGAUGGCCAGGCAGUCUCCUUGGCUACUCUAAUAGGUUCCUCUCAUUCAUGCUAGACUCCUUUCUUCAAGUUUUAAAUCUUAACGCCAGCAUAAUCAUUGAAAGAGUAUCUUCUUUUUCGCCACAUCGCAUCAAGGUGACAGGAUUCGAACCUAUGGCCCUCUGUACCCAAAACAUAUGCGAACUCUCAAUUUGAUCAGGAGAGCCUAGAGAGCUCUCUAUCUUUCCUUCUUUAAAAUUUAAAAAAAUAGAGGCGGAUUUAAAGUUUAAAUUUUACAGGUUUACCUUUAUAUUUUGUAUCAAUUACAUUUUUUAGGAUGUGAUAAUCAUGGUGUCUGCCUGUUUGGGUCAGUUUUCGCACACCUUAACUAAUUCCACAUACAAGAUAUUUCUCACCUCCCACCAACAAUAAGUACUAGGGUGCUAUCAUUGAGACCUUGUGGUUCUUAAUUUACUUCAUUGACCACUGACUAGGUCACACGUUGGGUGCUAUCCGUUGCAUUUUAAAAUUACGGUAUAACUUGUGCUUUUUUCUUUUUAUUUUCUAUAUGGAGACAAAUCUAAGAUUUUAUAUUGAUAAGAUGCAUAAAUAUUCCAUUACAAAUUUACUUAUUUGUCAUAACAAGUAAAUGUAAUAAUCCAAUCCUUCGUUUUGAGUAUUUGCACCCUAUUUCAUGAUAUGAAACUUCUCAUAGGUUCUCAUAUAUGGUGUUUUGGGAUUUGUUGGGAUUUGACUUUGACGGCAUUCCUGAUUCUUUUUCAUGGGACAAGCACGUGAAAAUUCUUUUUGAUAAUGGGUGAUGGUGAGAUCCAGGACUUGUGUCUGUUUUGAUACCAUACUAAAAUGUGCAACCAUUUCAUCUAAAAAUUUAAGCUAUUAAAAAAAUACACUUUUAUUAUUUAAUUAUAUUCUGAUUUGCUACCUAGAUGCUUAUAUUAUUUACUUACAUAGAAUUUAUUAAACUUGUCUUUCCUUUAGCAACUACUCUUUGUUAGAAGGACACAAGGUGUUUGGUAGUAAUGAAAAAAAGUUGGAAGGUCAAAUAUUUGUCUUGUAACAAGUUGUCCUUGUUCUAGUAAAGAACAAUUUAAAUAUAAAAAAUAAAAUAAAGACCAAAGAUUAUUGGUUUUGUUGCCUAAUUAAACCUUCUACUAAUUGUAUUCUAUUUAUAUUAUUCAGAUUUACCUAAUAUUCCCUUUUUGGUUAUCCAUUCCUCUGCUUAAUUCUAUAACUUGUAGUAGUAAUAUUUUGGUGAAAAUACAUUGCUUUUUUUCUGUCUUUUUGGGAGGAAAAAAAUACCUUAUUUAUUUUUUAGCUUAUAUGACUUUAUUAUGUGUAAAGCUAUAUAUAUCUUGUUUUAGUUGAACUAAUAUUUGCUUUUUCAUAAUCCUAUAUUUUAAGCUAAGUCACUUUGAACAACCAAGCACUCCACAUUAUUAAUUAAAAAUAUUAAGUCAUCAGAUUUUUACAUUAUCAAUUUAAUUUAGUUGAAUAUAACAAAUUAAUAUAUGAAUAUUUAAUCAGGGACGAAGCUAUAGAGAAAGCUAUGAGUUCAACGUCAGAAUUAAGUAAUUUUGGCCAAAAUUAUGUAUUUUUGUUAAGAUUGUCAUCAUCACUUAAUAUGUAUAAAUAUUAAUUAUUUAAAACUUGAUUAAUGAAUAUUUUUUAAUUUUGUUUUACUCAACUGCAUUUUAGGAUGUUUUUGUAAGUCUAAGUUAACCAGCAAGAUAUAUAAAUCUUUACUCUUAUCAAAUUGUAUAGACUUCCUUAAAUAGAUCAGAAUUGGCUAUUUUAAUUUAUUCCUAUUAUUUUAUGUGAAUGAGUCUUGAGUGUCAAUUUUUUUUACCCAAGAAGAAAAGUAAUCACAAAAAUAAAAAAUAAAAAAAUCAUGAAUAUUUCCACCUUCAAAUACUCGGGGUGAAUCUAAGAGUUCGGAUUCACAUAAAUUCAAUUUUUUUGCAAAUUUUAUGUAAAUAUUAAGAAAUUUAUUAAAUAUAUGUAAGUUUUCAAUACUUUUAUUAAAGCUCUGAUUAUUCUUAAUUCACAUCGCGUAAAGCCUAUUUGAUGAAAUAAUAUGUUCGAUGCUUGUCGUAUCCGCCUUAAUUCCUUUAACCAAACACACUAUUGAAUGAUUGGUUGACCAAAUCAACUUAUAAUAUUCUCAUGUUUCAUUUAAUUAUUUUUAUUAAAAAAUGUGUUUUAGCUUUUAUAUUGUACUUAUUAUCCGUCAAGUCAACUAAAAAAUAAUUAUAGAUUGUAUUCAUAAGAAAUAAAAUGUGUAACAAGAAAAAUAACUAAAUUGUUUACUACAACAGAUUCAAAUUAAUUAUACACUAUUAAGAGGGUGUUAGGAUUGACUUAAAAGUUGGCAAAACUUAUUUUUGAGUCAGUUUUUUAUUUCUGAAACUAUUUGACAAAUAUAAAAAUAACUUAAAAUAAGUCAAAAAUAAGUUAGGAAGUAUUUUACAAGGUUAAAAUAACUUAAAAUAAGUUUACAAUGACUUGAAAUAAGUUAAAAACCAAAAGUAGAUUUUCCCUACUUUUUAUUUUAUGACUUAAAAGUCAUUUAAAUUUGACAUUUUAUUUUUGACUUAAAAAUUACUUUUUUAAGCAUAUCCAAAUGGGUUCGAAGAAUGCUUUAAAAAUUCUUCAACAAUUAGGAAUCACGAUCAACCAUCUGGAAUGCAUUAAAAAUUAUUUGUUCUCCAUUGCGCAUAAUUUAUGUUGCACACAUUUUUUUUAGUUCGUUUUAAAAGAAGUAAUGCACUUUAAAUUUGAAAAUAAAUAAUUUUACAUUUUUAUGGGGGGAUUUUUACACAUAAAAUCGUUCAAAUUGACUAUCUAGGUUGUAUUUAAAAGUCUCGCGAGUAUUGAAUUUUUUUACAACCAUGUAAAUUUCAUAUCAAUUCAAACCUAUGUAUGUUACACAUAUUAACAUGUAUUGGAACAAAAAAAAAAUUCCUAUUUGGUGUCCGAUAUUAUUAGUAGAACUCGAAUAAUUUGAAUUUGCCCAGCAUAAGGCCCUAUUCGGAAAGAAGUGCUCUCUACCAAAGAUUUUUUCAUAUUCAGACUCAAAUCCGAGACUUCUAACUAUUAAGAAAGGAACAGUCUCAUCCAUUGAACACGUUCUUUGAUGGUGUAUUGGAACAAUUUCAUCAUUAGGUAUUAAGUGGUACUUACUCAAAAAUAAAACUAUAACCACACAAAUUCCAUUUCAAUUCAAACCUAUAUGUGUUACAACUUACACAUACUCACAUGUGUUGGAACAAUUUUUAUCUUUUUUUGGUUUUUCAUCUAAUGUCUGGUAUUGGAGUCCAACUAAUCUGGAUUCACACCACGUAAGGACCCAUUUGGGGGGAGGGGGAGGGGGGAGCAGCACUCCCUAUUAAGAAUUUUUUCAAAUCCAAAGUUUGAACUCAAGACCUCUAUUUAAGGGAUAAACAGUGUCAUCCACCGCACCACAUCGAAGUAUAUGGGAACAAUUUCAUCAUUAGGUAAAAAGUGGUACUUACUCAUAUUAGUUAUACUAAUCCUAACUUAAAAGCUACCAAAUCCAUCUAGUUCUCAUUAUACACUAUAUAUACUCAUACAAUUUAUCUCAAUUUCAUCACUACUAACCAACCUUCUUUACAUACAAAAAUUUCCUCUAUAGCAAGUCUUUAUUAGAAUUUGAGUCAUGGCUAAAAUAUUGAGUUUAUUCAUCAUGGUCACAUCUAUUCUUGCUUUUGCACCAAUAUUAUGUUUAUCUAGCAAGACCAAUUAUUAUGGUUACCUAUAUCCACAAUUUUAUGAUUGGUCAUGCCCAAAUGCAAAAGAAAUUGUCAAGUCUGUUGUUGCUAAAGCCGUAGCUAGAGAAGCUCGAAUGGCCGCCUCUUUGCUUAGGCUUCAUUUUCACGAUUGCUUUGUCAAGGUAAAUUAUUUUUAGUCUCUUGGAAAGCGUAGGUGUCUGUUUUUAUUUUCUAAAAAAUAAAAGUGUUUAGCCUAAAUAUAUAAGCUAGUCAAAUUAUGUUAUAAAUAUCUUUUCUUAUUACAUAUUUGAUAUAUAAGUCGGUCAUUCUCAAUUUAUGACUUUUCAACUUAUAAAUAUUUUUAAUAUGACUAAUUCUUUUUAUUAUUUUAUUAGUUAUUUACAAUCAGUUAACUCAGACGGAUUAUCUAACUAUGUAUUUUUUUAUUUUAUGAUCAUGUAGGGGUGUGAUGCAUCAUUGCUUCUAGACAGCAGUGGAACAAUAAUAAGUGAAAAAUUAUCAAACACCAAUAGAAAUUCGGCACGUGGAUUUGAAGUAAUUGAUGAAAUUAAAUCUGCACUUGAAAUGGAAUGCCCUCAAACUGUCUCUUGUGCUGAUAUAUUGGCACUUGCUGCAAGGGAUUCUACUGUUCUAGUAAGUACAACUACUUUAAGCCUAACCUAAAGAUUUCAAUUUCCGAUGAACUCAAUAACUUUUAUUUAGAUUUAUUUUUGUAUUAGAAAAUCUUUUGAGUAUGCAUAAAUAUAUAAUUGUGAAUUCAGUAAUUAAGACGAGUUAUAAAUUCGUGGUAAGUUUAAAAACUAUAAACCUAGGGGUUGUUCAGUUAGUGGGACAAAGAAUAACAAUUCCUGCGAGAUUAUUUUAACUCUCGUUGAUGAGUAUUAAUUAGUCUUGAAAUACAUUUUGUAUUAAAAUGGUGAGAUUAACUAUUCCAUAUAAAAAGUGAAAUAGCUAAUCUUAUAAAAUAUCUUUGUCUAUUCGAUUUCAAUCAAGUUAAAAAAGAAAAGUUAUAUAUCCUAUAUAAUUUAGUUGGUUAGUUACCAUUUUGACAAGAUUAUGAGAUAAUUCUGAUCUUAUAGAUUUACUUAUAAUUACUUUAAUCUUAUUGUAUAACUAUUUUUUAAUUUAUAUUAUUAGUAUAUAAAACUUAAGCUCGAUUAUUAUUUAUGCAGGCUGGUGGACCAAGCUGGGAGGUUCCAUUAGGAAGAAGAGACUCAAGAGAUGCUAGUAUAAGUGGCUCCAACAAUAACAUUCCUGCUCCAAACAACACAUUUAAUACAAUCCUCACUAAAUUCAACUUAAAAGGGCUUGAUCUUGUUGACCUUGUUGCUUUAUCUGGUAAAAUUUACUCUAUUAGUUUAACGUUUAUAUAUCUAAAAGAUAAUUACAAGUAAAGUGAGUAAUUUAUAUCAAAAAAUUGGUAUAACUUUAUACCAUAUCCAAUGUGAAAUAAAACUUUAAAGGAUUAUUUAUUCUUGGAUAAAACAAGUUAAAUAACAAAACUUCCCUUCUAUCAAAGCCCUUACAACUUUCAAUUAUGAUCAAGGUUAAAAUUGGAAUUCAAAUUUUUUUACAAUAUAAAAUCAAACAUAUAUUUUAGAUUAUAUAAUGUAUAACCUAGUUAUCACAUUUAAAGAAAUCAUCAUAAAUGUUAAAUAAUCCAUAAAUUAUUAGUAUGUAUAACAAUCCCUUAUAUAAUAUUGUUCACAAACCAAAUAACCUUUUUAGUAUAAUUUUGUUUUACUUUCUAUAUAUAAGUUAAAUCUUUAUUAGAUUUUAACUAGACUAGUUAUCAUAUCUAGGGCAGGGCUAGGUAGAAUGAACCUCUUCAACAAAAAAAAAAUAUUUUUAUAUAUAGUUAAAAAUAUUUUUUGAAUGUUAAGAGAGGACAAUUACCUCUUGUUUCUGCUUCUCUUUUUUUGCUUCGGGGAAAAGAGGUCCUACGAUAGGUAAUAACAGGCACAAACAAGUUUUAUGUAUAUAGUACAUGUUGAACUCCUUUUGACUUUUUCGUGUGUUUACUUCUUCAUAUUUUAAACCUUAAUUUAGUAAAAAUCCUGACUCGAAAAUUGUUGUGUAGGGAGCCACACCAUUGGAAAUGCAAGAUGCACUAGCUUCAAGCAAAGACUCUACAAUCAAUCAGGAAAUAAUUUACCAGAUUAUACACUUGACCAAUCAUAUGCUGCACAAUUGAGCACUAUGUGUCCAAAAUUUGGUGGUGACCAAAAUUUAUUUUUCUUGGAUUAUGUCACACCAACAAAAUUUGAUAACAAUUACUACAAGAACUUGUUGGCUUCAAGGGGUUUAUUGAAUUCAGAUCAAAUUCUUGUGACAAAGAAUCAAGCAACAUUAGAAUUGGUGAAAUUGUAUGCUGAAAAUAAUGAGAUUUUUUUCGAGCAUUUUGCGAAAUCUAUGGUUAAAAUGGGAAAUAUUUCACCUUUAACUGGAUAUAAGGGAGAGAUUAGGAAGAAUUGUAGAUACAUGAACUAAAAAAAUUGGUUAUUGUGUUUGAUAUAUUUGAUGUAUUUUUAUGUCAACAUUGUUGUAAGUGUUUUUUUCUUAUUUUUAAUGGUUAGUUUGUAUUCAUCCUCAUAUAUUAAGUUCAUCUUGGGUGGCCUUUGUCAUAGUGUGCUAAAUGUUAAUGAUGGUUUCGUAUAUCUACUCAUUUGAAGUACUUUCCUGGUAGAUUUUAAAAUGUAUAUUUAGUGGGUGUUUGAUCGUGUUUUAUUGUGAAAUUUGAAGAAAAAAAUAGUUUUUUUUUUCAAAGUGUAGAAUGAAAUUUGAAAGUUGUGUUUGAUCAUGAAUACAAAUUGGAGUUGUGUUUGACUUUUUAUGAGUAAUCUGGAGUGAAAAAGUGAAACACAUUUUUGUUGUUUUUCAAAUUCUUGAAAAUUCUAAAUUUUAUGAUCAAACGUGUUUUUCAGAGUUCAACUCCUAAAAAAAUGAAAAAAAAAUCAUUGUCAAACGCCUCCUUAACAUUAUUUUUACUUGGUUUUCACACAGACAACCCCCUCCCCCCCUAAAAAAAUAUUUUUUCACACUUAUCUUAUUAUUGGACAAAAUUGAAUCAAUAGCUAGAAAAGAGGUUGUGAAAAAAAACAAGUAAGGCUUGCUCAAGUGGUUCAACAUCUCUAUUAUCUACCGGUAGAUUUAAGGGUUUGAAUCAUACUGGAAGGUAAGUGGAAAUACUAUUGAUCCUCCGGGAAUUUGGAAAGAGCGAAAAAAAAAAGACACUAAUAGGCUUCUUGCAGAGAACAGAUAAGGAUUCUUGAUGAGGCUUUUACAUGAGGAUAUAGUGUAUUUAUAUGUUGGCAUUGAUCCUCGAACUAUUGUCAGUCUUAAAAACAUCCCUUAACUUGACUAACUAAACUUAAAUACACCCUCAAUUUUGCAGCAUGAAUAAAAUACACCCCCUAAAUUAAAUUCUUCUACAAUUGCUGAUUUUUGGAAAAUUAAACAAUGUAUGAGAAGUUUCAAAUAGUGAAACAGGGUCAAAUAAGGGUUAGAUUGUUACAUCCACUUGUUAUGACAAAUGAGUAACUUUGUAGUGGUAUUAUACACCUUGCCAGUUUAAAAGUUUUAGAUCCGCCUCCAUACAAAAAAUAAAAUAAAGAGCACAAAUUCUAGCAUAAUACAUUAAAAAUGUAACAAAUACAACAAUAAACAUAAAAAAAAGUUGAACCAAUGAAAUUUUAAUUCUGAAUCCGCCUCGACUAAAGUAGAAGCUAAAUAAGAAGAGAAUAGCCUAGCAUGAAUGAGAGGAACCUAUUAGAGUAGCCAAGGAGACUGCCUGGCCAUCAAAGAAGAAUGCUUGUAUACAUGGCAUAUACAUGAUAUAUCACAAACCUCAAGAACUAAUGAUGCAGGCAAGUCAUCCUUGGCUAUCAAAUAGGCACUUACCCUUCAUGUAAGACACUCUUUUCUUUUAUCAUUUCUUCAUAUGCUUCUAUAUAAUCUUAUUUUUAUUUUGUAGCUAUAUAGACAAUGUAAGAACACUACUAUUUAUAUAUACACAUUUGACAAUGUGAGAAUACAAAUCUAAUUCUUUGAUUCUACUACUUUCCUCUCACAUUUUUUCCUCAUGCGAUUUAUGCUUCUUUUUUUUCUUCAUAUAAAAAGUAGUUUAAUUAUUUGACUAUAUAUGUCAUGUAUGCAUGUAUUUUGCCACUAUGUCAUUUAGGGGAAUAUGUUCAUAGGAUCUUUAAGACAUUGGCCUUAAUUAUGUGUGCUUUAUGACAUUUUGAAGGAGACAGAUUUUCAACGACAACAAAAGAUUGUCAAUCAAUUUGUACUAUAUUUUUCAUGGGGUCCAAGGGUCGACAUUAAAUUUUACCAGAUUUAAAAUAAGACUCUAUGAGACGAGUUUGAUCCCUGUUCUCAAAUUCUAAGGUCCGCUCAAGUUUUAUGAAAGCUACUUCACCCUAAAUUUUAGCUCAUACCUAUAAAAAAGGAAUACACAUUUCAUUGAGGAGACUUCUUGAAUAUCUCAUAAACUCAUGAUAUACUCAUAGAGAGAUCAAAGCAUCAAAUAUUGUCUUUCAAAAAACUAUUGUCAGACGUUCCUAGCGAUCAAAUACAUUACAAAGAGGUCUUAAUCAUCCAACAUUUGAGAAAUAUGUUAUUAAUGAUCCUCGAAUCAUGGAAGGAGCCUAAAUCAUUCUACGUUCGAGAAAUAAGCUAUUAACGAUCCUUAAAUCUCAAGAAAACUCCAGAGAGAAGAAUUAAGGAGAUAACAAAAUUGUAGCCACAAUCUUGAUAAAUAAAAUCACGUUCUUCUUUAUAGACAGAAGAAAAGCAUAAUACCUUGAGACGUUCUCAACUUGACAUUAUUUAUUUAGUUUAUAUCUGAAUUAUUUUUCAACAUAACCUAAACCUAAUAGGGAUGUGUAUCGAUCGGUUCGGUUUUGAAGUUUAUCGAUUUUGCUUAUUGGUUAUCGGUUUGUAGAGAUGCUAAACUGUUAUCGAACCAUUAAAAUAUUGGCUUAUCAGUUAUUGAUUUAUCGGUUUUUGAUCGUUAUCGGUUCGAUUAUCGGUUUAACCGUUAAGAUUUGACAAAAAAAACAUUGAAAAUCACUUAGAAACAAGGUGACAAACUAAAUGAACCAUGCACAUAAGUUCACAAGUUACAUCUUGCUCAAAAGCAAACAUUUUUACAUUGUAGAAUAAUGAAGUGUUUGAGACAACCAGAAAUAAAAUUAAGAAACCAAACUCUAAGUCAAGGACUUUAUAUACAAAAUGGUUUAAAUAUAAUUAUUUAAUUUACUAUCGGGUUAUCUAACCCGUUAAGAAAAAAUCUCAAACCGUUAAGAACCAAUAACCCGAUAAGAAAAAAAAAUCAAAACCACUAAACCAAUAACCCAAUACUGAUAAAUCAAUAACUUUUUUUUAUUUGGGUUAUCGAUUUCAAUUCGAUUUUAAACACCCCUAUAACCUAAGCAUAAUUUAAGUAUGAAACUAAUUUAGAGUUUAGGGGGGUUAUGAUCCAUUAUCUCUGCCCCUCUGCAUUGGAUUGCCUCCUACUUUCAUCCUUUUUAAUAGUAUUAUUUAUAAGCAUGAUAUAGGGUUCCUUAAUUCACUUAAAUUGUUUUCUUUUGGUGCUAAUUAGACUAAAGGUUUCACUGCAAAUAAAAACAAUCCUUUCCAAAUUGUGAGACUGAAAGAACUACACAGUUUUGUUUGGAAUUAGAUGGAGGAUUUGUGACAAGAUGGAUUACUCAUUUUUUGGCACUACCUUUGAAGUGCAAUGAUAACAAAUGCUAGUAAUAUUCCCCAUUCCAUAAGCCAAUACUUUUCAGCUUUGACCUCUCAUAAAAAGAUAGAAUAAAAUCUAUGGCAGAUAUAUUUGACUUGUAAAAGGGCUUUACUGUUAUUUCAGGAACAAAAAACUUUGCUAAGAGAAUCCAAUAAUAGCAACUUGUCGCCAUUGCUACAAUGAAAAAAGAAAAACUCACAUGGUGUGUACACCACUUUAGUGUAUGUAUCAUACGUUUAUGCAUACACUGCGAUGACUUAAAACCAUGGUUAAUUAAUAUACAUUCACAUCUCAAUUUGUCAUGCUAGAACGUUAACAUGUUCAACUAGUGAUAUCAACAUGCUUGUAAACAUGUUAGAAUGUGUACUGUACAUAUGAUGAAUGUUGAUCCUCAAUAAUUUUGAAUGAGUGAACACAAGGAUCUUUCGAGUGAGAUUGAAACGACUAACCCUUUAUCUCUUCAAGGAUGACAUAGAGAAACCCUGUAACAGCAUAUGUGAAGGUGGCAACAUAGUAUUUGCCAUCUCCAAAUUUGUAAUUAGUUCCUUCACUUGAGAUGGCAACAUGAAAACUUCAUCAGCUUGGUUUUUGGCCACCCAUUCUUCUACGUUCCUGCAUAAAGUUUGAUUCAGCCAAUGAGUUAUGAGCUUUUGAAAUGGAUUGUAAUGGGACUCAUUGAUAUGAAAUGCACAAUUGAAAUAAGAGAAGAAAGUGGCCAGGAACAUGCAGCAAAUGAUAAUGUUAAAGUAAUAACAAAUCAUUGUCUUACUUUCAAGUUUCAACAAGUCCUACAAGAUUUAUCUAGAUAACCUUCGGUUGGAUUUCUAAUGAAAACUACAUCUUGGAGUGUUCAAAAACGAUUUCUUUUCAAAUUGGUAGCAACUAUCUGAUGCUAUUUAAAAUGCAUGACAACAGUAUACCUUUUUCAAAAUCAUCUCAGGAAGACAAUAAUUUAGUAUUUCGUGCCAACUUAUUGUUCUCUUCUUUAGAUUCUUCACUACUGUAUUUGCUUUACAUACUUGAUUAUUUUGACAUGUUUUACUUGAACCGAGGGUCUAUAGGGAACAAUCUCUCUAUCUUCACAAGACUAGAUACGUUGUUGUUGUUCAUGCCAACUUACUUCAAUAUGGCAACUACUUAUAGACUUUUAGUACAGUUCUUGAAACUUAGUUGGCGCACAUAAAAGUACGUAUCUUUGAACACCAACCUCCCCCCACAGCUUCCUCUUAUGUUCCCCUGCCCAGCAUUAAGGCAGAGAUAGAGGAAGAUAACCUAUACAUACAUGUAGAUGGCAUCAAAUGACAGAAGAAAAGGACAGCUAGAGUAGAGAGACAAUCACCUGGGUUCAAGUUCCGUGUCAUUGAUGUUUGCAGAGAACAAUAGCUUGACAACGGGGUACAUAUUAAUCUUGGUUACUGGUUCCAUGUUAUGCAUGCAAUACCCACUGUAGCACCAUGCAUUUGGGUUAAGGAGAACAAUUUGUGAAAGUGCACGUUUGGUGUGUAUAUCUCUGACAACGGUCCGAAAUGUUAGUUCGUCUUGUGCAGCUUCAAGCAAUUGACGUGAAAACAUCCUUUCCAAAGUAUACUCCCUGGAAUCACACAGUGAGUUUAUUAAUACAUCACGAAAUCAAAAUCAAUCAAUCAAUUGUCCUCAAGUUCAAACUAGUUGGAGUUGAAUGUAUGGAAUUUUUCGAUAUCCAUUCCACUCUAUUUGGGCAUAUUUCAUUCCAAUACACUGACGUAUAGUCUUUUAACUAGGAACUCGUGAUAAACACCAGAUGUAAUAUGAAACAACUAAACGUGAUCCAAACUAAUUGCAUCACUGAUUUGGAUCAUUUGCCUUCUGAACUUGGUUAAGUUUGUAUUGCUUCUCAGAAAUUGUAUCCCUCAUGUAAUGUCAAAUCUGAUAAGUCUCCUUUAACACCUGAAUAAUCAAGUGCCCACACCCAGAUUGGCACAUUUGAAUAUCUACGUGUGAUGUGGCUAUAAUAUCCUUUAUGUGCACUACUUGCAGUAACAUUGGAUGUGAUCAUUUUAAAUCUUGUAAACUUUUAACCUACAUGCAUUCAUCUUAACAUCAAAACUACUACAACACUUGUCUUAGAAUAUUUUGGGACUUAAAGGCCCAACAUUCAAUCUUACAUGACAUUGUUGGUCCCAAAAAUGCUCUAUAGAGAUUAUCUUUUACUUUGUCAGAUAUCUUCCUUAUGCAUAGCACAUCAGUAGUGGAAAUACAUGAAAGACAAGAGGAAAUAAGCUCUAUCCUGAGAAUGUCUCUCUAUCAGGGAAUAACUUGUUCGACUCUCAGAUAGGCCAACAUCUAACUUAUGGCACUAGAAAACUAUUUAGCAAUUACUGCGCCAUUGACAAAGUUACCAUUCUCAUCUAGUUUUCAGCUUUCUAAAGAGAGAUAGAAAGACAUCAACUCCAUGAAAUGUUAUUGGGCAAGAAACAUAUAACAAAAGGACACAUCUAUUUAACAAAAAUUCCUAUUUACAGGUUCCAUAUGGUUUCAAGAACCACAAGUUGGGAAAGAAGUUUGAGUUUAGAAGAAAAAUAUAAGAGAAUACACUACAAGAUAAACUAAAUCUAAGGGGGGAAUGAUAGAUGGUUACCUAAAUAGAUCAUUCAAUCCACGAACAGGCAAACAAGUAGAUAUGUUAAAUUUGUAUAGUCGAACUCCAUCAUCUAAUGGUGCUUUAUCACUGGAGCAAGGAUAUGCUCCAAUAAGAGAUGAACAUUUUGGACAGAGAAAUUCAAUCCACUUGACGUCUUUGGAAAGAUUGGAAUGUCUCAACAUAAAAGCAUCCCCAAGGCAGCCUUUAAGAAAUAUUUUCUGCUUAUCUAAGAGUUCAGUAUUCAGUUCAUAUUCUUUCUCCUUUGAAAAGCUCUCACUAAGAUUAUUAGUACAACAGCCAGUAUUAUGGCUUUUAGUGUCACAGUUUGCCUCGGAAGAAAUUCCAGCCAAUGACUUCAUUUUGUCUUCAUCCUUCAACUUUGAAGGUAUGCAUGUUGAACUAUCACCAUCAAUCAUCAUUUUAACAACUUCAUUGUUUGGUUUCACCCCAUUAUUUUCUUCCUCAGGACAAGGUCUUAAAGAAGUCACCUUGGCUGAAUUCACCUGAGAAUCAUAAGUUUGGUCCCCUUUCAACUCAGGAAAUUCACAGCCGACGAGGUCCUCUUUGCAUAUGAUAACAGAUGCGCCAGUUAUAAGGCAAACACCAGUUGUACAAGAAUAUGACUUUGCAAAUUGCAUGACUAGCUGUUCACUUAUACCACCAAACGAGCAACAACAUGUCCCAAACCAAUUGUCUGCAACAUCUUGCCAGUCGACUGAUGGCAUCUCAUUAAAUAAUCUGUUAAAAAUAAAUAUUUAGAGACAUGCAAUGGCAGUCAUGUAAAAUAAAUAACGGCAUUUCCUGCCCGACUGAGAGAAAGAAAAGCCCUACCUGAUACCCUUGGUUAACUUAGUUGAGCAACUUCUGCAGUAAAAAUGAACUUCCUCCAUAGCAGAUAAUUUCUUUAUUUCUAAUCCAACAAAGCAGAAUUAAUAAGAGUGAAAUAAAAUAAAUGAACAAGAAGUUCUACAAGUGUCAGAAUGCAAAUAAGGGUAGACUCAUAGAGUACGUUAAGCAGUGAUCAUAACUGUUUGCCAAAAACAUAAAAUCAAAGCAAGAUGACAUGGCAGUUUCUGCAUUACAAAUCACCAGUCCCUCAAUGAUGGAAUACAUAAACACAUCAAAGGAGAUGACAGUUUCUGCAUUACUGUCUAUUCCUUUUUCUUUAGACUUGGUAUCACAAGAGAAUCAAGUCUUUCACAUUCUUUUGACAAGUAGUUAACACGUGUUUUAGAACUUUAAAGUUGUAUUUUACACUCCCUAAAGUGAUUCAACAGACAUAACAUGUUAUGUUGAUCAAAUCCUGCAGUUUGAGUCUUGCUACUUGUUGGAAUACCUCACAAGCAUACAAAAGUGAAUUCUUGACAAGCUUUAUACAUAAAUAUUAUGAACUGUUUAAUCCCAUGGAAAAUUUUCAAAUUUGUCUUCCCCACCCAUCCACCACACAAAAAGGGAAAAGUCCUGCUCUAUCUUCUGCAUAUUGACAACCGUAGGUGGACUUUCAUGAAGAUCAAGAAAAAAAAUUAAUAAUUAGUUAUUGCACUCUAGUACUUUGGGGACAGAGGAGUAUGUAGCAAUAUAGUUAUAGGUUCAAUUCAACACAUAGCUUUUACAUGGAACAUAAACUUAUGUGCAAAAAUUUACUAAAAUUGCAAUACAUGGUAGAUAUGAACCCAUAACUUUAAAAAUAUAAUGAGUGCAAUGCUAAUAAUCUUAAAAUUGAGCCCAUAGAAUUCAAAUUCUAGAUUUGCCUCUGGUUAGGGAUACAUUAAAAUAGUAUCUAAGAGAUGCAGAAGAGAAGAAAUCACCAAACUAUCACACCCUUUGGUGCAACAAAAAAAAUACUUGAGUACUAAUCUAUGGACUAUGAAAAGUAUACAAUAUCAUAAUCAUAAGUUGUAAAAUGGUAAGAUUCCUUUAGAUGUAUCCCAAUGUAUCAGCCAAGCACCACUAACAUCAUCAACUACAACAUACCAGUGUAAUACCACAAUUGGGGUCUCGUGAUGAUAGAGUGUACUCAAACCUUAAUCCUAACUCAGGCAGACAGGUUGUUUCCAAAAGACCUUACCCAAUGUAACCACAAUUGGGGUCUCAUGAUGAUAGAGUGCACCCAAACCUUACUCCUAACUCAUGGAGGCAGAUAGGUUGUUUCCAAAAGACCUUACCCAGUGUAAUACCACAAGUGAGGUAUGGGGAGUGUAGAACUGGCUCAGGUGCAGCAAAUGAAACUAGUUAUGAAAAAGGAAAUACAGCAGUGAAGAGUAACAAUAGCUAAAUAAUGAGCUAACAUCCAAAUUCGCAAAUAUAAAACCGAAACUAAUCAAUUUUAAAAAAACAUUUCUGACUAACCAUAAUUCACCGAGAACGGAAAGAAAGUAUCUGAGUCCGGUUUUUCCUCCUCCGGUUCCGAUAAAUCCAAUCCUGAAAUGAGCGGAUGAUCAACAGGAAGAAGAAGAGAAAGCUUAACUUCAACAUGAUCAUCAAAUACUCUGCAAUGAACCGGAGCUUCCGGGUCAAUUAAAACCCGAGGAACUGGUACCCGAACUGAAUCCCCUUCGACGAAACAGACAGUGAGCAGAGAUUUCUCCACAGAUAAAUUGACAGUGAUUUCGGUACAAGAUUUGAUAUUUGAAUUGAAAAGGAUUAAUCGGAGAGUUGAAGUGUGAGAUUGAGCUUCCCAUGUGAAUCGCCAUUUGCUGCUGUUAGGGUUUUCAGUAGAGGCGGGAAACACAAUUUCAGAUGAAGAAGACAUAAUUUUGAUUGUUGAUUCCAUUGGGUGGAAAAUUGAAAUUUUGUUAAGAUUUUUUUGGGCCCAUCUUACAUGGAUUUUCAUUUUUAGCCCAAUGGAUAAAUAAGAAAAUUUGGCAUGAUUUAGAAGGGGAAACUUUCGCAAAUAGCCACUAAAAUAAUUUUUAAUUAUGCUUCAUAACUAGGGGUGCGCAUCGGUCGGUUCGGUUCGGUUUUAGGUGUUAUUGGUUCGGUUUAUCGGUUUUCGGUUUGUAAAUACGUCAAACCGAUAACCAAACCAAUAACAUAUUUCUUAUCGGUUUAUGGUACUUAACGAUUCGGUUUUUGGUUUAACCAAUAAGAAAAUACUCAUAUAUAUUAUAAACACAAUAAGAAAAUUUUCAAAUAAACCAUAUGAUUUUUCCAGCAUUUGGCAUGAAAGUAAUAAUCAUAAAAGUAACAAUCAUUUUCUUGCAAGUUUAGACACUAGACACAUUCAAAGGAAAAAGUGUGAAAGUAACAAUCGUUUAACCAUUAACAAAAAGUGUGAAAGUAACAAUCGUUUAACCAUUAACAAAAAGUGUGAAAGUAACAAUCGUUUAACCAUUAACAAAAAGUGUGAAAGUAACAAUCGUUUAACCAUUAACAAUAAGACUAGUAAAUUUAGUAUAGUCUUAUUGGGUUAUUAGUUUAACCAUUAACAAAAAUUAUAAAACCGGAAACCGAACCAAUAACCCAAUAAAAAAAUUUGCAAAACCGUUUAAAAACCGUUAGCCCAAUAACCCAAUAUCAAUAAACCAAUAGUGUUUUUUCGGUUCGGUUUAUUGGUUAAAUCGGUUUUUGCACACCCCUAUUCAUAACUAUAGUUUGCUAAUUACGAUACAUAGCUACAUGUUAGAGGAAUGAGAGUGGCGAGCGAGUUGUAUAUGUAUAUUUGUUGAAUUGUAUAUGUAUACCUAUCAGAUAAUUGUAUAUAUGUAACGGAUAUACAUAUGUAUUUGUAAAUCUAGCGAGCAAGAUUGGGAGAGGGAGGAGAGAGACGAGCAAGAGAGGUGAUUGCAUUUGUAUAUUUGUCAUAUAAUUAUAUAUGUAUAUGUAUAAUUGUAUUUGUAUAAUUUGUAUUUGCACAUGUAUAAGCUAGGAGAGACGCGAGAGAGGAGAGAGGCGCACGUAAUUAUAGCUAAAAUUAAGCUGAAAGCGAUAAUUAAUUCAAACUAUACCUAUGUAAGUUAAUUAAUUUUCUCAUUUAGAUAUAUUUGCACUUUAAUGAACUAUGGGCUUUCCCAUUCAUUUGGAAAUUUGACAAAUGUUGAGAUUCCUCAACUUGAGCAACAAUUUCAGUGACCUAACUAAGCUUCCCGAUACCAUUGGUGAUUUACUAGAGACCCGAUCUCUACUAACAGGAGAGCCUCCAUCUCAAAAUACUGUCGGUGCUAAGUAAACUCCCAAUGAAAAUAAGAUAAAAAUCUAAAGGAACAAACAAAUUCAGGAACUACCUAAUAAAAUUAGCCUGCUUGACAACUAACUAUGCUUAAGUUGGACAAAAACCCUCUUGUCAUUGACACCUCCACAUGAAGUUGUAGUAUUUUUUUUCAUUGAAAACCGAUACAACCUCCAACCUAUUGGGAUAUCAUUAAAGCUCUAUAUAUAAGACAGUGUUUUUUCCUUGAGCAGAAAAAAACUUUUUUUUUUUUAAAUUCUUAACCAAAAUCUCUGACAAAAGUUGUCGUAUGAUUUUCAGGAGCGAUUUUCUUCUGACAAAAGUUGUCGUAUGUUAAAAAAAAUAAAAAUCGCUGCUAAGAUCGCUGCCAAGGUAGCGAUUUUCUCAAAAAAAAAAUAUUUUUUUCUUGAUUUUAGUUAAGAAUUUAAAAAAAAAAUAAAAAAUUCUUAAUUUAAUAUUCUUUUAUUAUUAUUUAUGAUAUAUAAUUCAAUUUUUCUCAUGCUUCAACAAUUUUAUUGAGUAUACUGUCCGUCUUGUUUAUCAUUUUUAUAUUAUUAAUAAUUAACAAUAGACAUGAAAAUAAUAGCACCAGGCAUGAAAAACGCUACCCCUGCAGCGAUGUGUAAGGAAAAAAAAUAUUCUGACUUACAACAGCGAUUUUUUUUAUUUUUUUUUACGAAAUCGCUGCUGUGGCAGCGAUUUUUAAUAAAAAAAAUAAAUUACAAAAAUUCUAAAAGGGAAGCGAUUUUUCGUCAUUGUGUCAGAGGGAAAUCGCUUCGUCAGGAGCGAUUUUGCCCUUUUAGUUUUAAAAAAAUUUGAUGUGCCCUUUUAGAAUUUUUGACAAUUUUUUUUGUCCUUUUGGCUCCGGACUCAAAUAAUAGUCCACAGUCACAGGCUGUGUAAGUUGUGUCAUUGUUCUAAAAUACUGAUUAAGUUAAUUAAACAAAUUAAAUGUGAGGGCCUACCUCCAUUCUUUGCUUUAUUCUGGUGAAAACAGAUUGAUCUUUAAAUAAUUAUAUUUUUAUUAGGAAUCAUUAAUUGUAUUUUAAGGUGAUAGAAAAAAGAAAUUGCAAUAAAUAAAUUUAAAAAGCCUCACAAGAAUAUAUUUUUCUAAUGGACUUGCAUAUGUAAGACUUCUUUAAUUAGUCUUAAAAAAUAAUCACAUGAUUCAGUGCAUGUACAUCACAAUCACAUACAAGUUGGAGUUAUAAGGUAUUCAACUAUUUUUUAGAGUUUCAAGUUCAAAAUUUUCUAUAUGUUUUUCCGAUUAAAUUGUUACACGAAUUUGCUUUCUACAUAUUAUUUUGAUCGAAUUUAUUAUAUGAAUUUAUCUACUAUGAUUUCUUUCACAUAUAUAAUUUACGGAUUAUUAUACUGAAUGAAAAUUUAUCUUAUGCACACAACAAAGAAUAGCAUUUUUGGAUUCCUUUGUUAUUUAAAAAAAAAGGUAUUCAACUACUCUACUCAAUAAUUCAUAUGUUAAUUGAUAUCUCAAGCGAUAACCAAGACCUACUUUUGAUAUCAUAAAUUUUAUUUUAAUUAUACUUAACAUCCUUUUCAAUAAAUUAAUAAUGUCAUUAUCAAUAUAAUAUUCUAAAACAAACUAAGAUGAUCUUAACAACUUUAAUUUUAAAAGUCUCCAUUUUCCAACCAAAGACCAACCAAAUCCUUCCACCAAAGAUAUUAAAAUAAUAAGAGAAAAAAAAAAUGAAAACACGGAUGAGAAGAUAUAUUGAGUACACUCUCAUGGUAUGAAGGGAAUUAUUUUCAUGGAAAGUAAUUUUUGAAAAAUAUGUAGGUUUUUAACAUAUUUUUUAGUGUUUGGUAAAUAAAUAAAUUUAAAAUUAUUUCAAGAAUAUUUAUAUAUAAUCUAACAAAAUACUAUAAAAGUGACAGUGGGUGGAGAAUGAGGCCUCGAGGGUGAUAGGGGUAGGAUGAUCAAGGCAUGGAGGUUAAGGGUUUACCCCGCAAUGUUGUUGGGUGGGUGGGGAGGAUAAUAAAGUUAAUAUGUAUAAUAACUUAUAUAUACAUAUCUGAUAUCUGCUUUGGAAACCCGACUAAUCGAGUUCAUCUAGGAAAGUCACUCUAUUGCAUAUUAAAAUGAUAUCAUUAAAUACAAAUUUUCUAAUUAAGAAUAGAGAGAUACUUAUAACUUUUCUAUAACUUUUGAAGGUUAAAAUACCCAUGUGUAUAAUAACUUGUAUAUGUACCAACAAGGUUGUGGUGGUGUGGUAAGGACUCUUUCAUUCUUAAUAGGAGGUCUCAGAUUUGAGUCUUCCUGGAUACGGAGUCGUCUUUGUUAGGGAGCGUCCCUCCAAUACGGAUAUCAGACACCGGAUAGAAAAACGUAUAUAUAUGCAACAUAGCUUUGAAAGAGACAAUUAACCAUGCUUAUUAAUUAUUCUCAUUAGACAAAAUUAUUUGCUAGGUUGUUAAUUUUGAUUGUGUACAUACAUUAUACAUCAUGGUUGUCCUCAAUUAUUGUCUCUUAGAAUUUGUUAGCCUUCUCAAACCUUUUUAUUAAUAUAAUAAAUUAGAGGGAAAUAGGGAAGAGGAGGAAAAUAAUCUAAAUAGUGAUAGUAAAUUUGAACACACUUAUUAUAUAAGAGACUCCUAUCAAUAUCACUAAACUUUAAGUCAUGAUUUUCAACAACUUGCAUAUAUUUAAAUGGGAGACAUCCCCUUAAGCUAUAAAUUUGAUCCUUAUUAUAAAAUAAAAUAUGUCAAAUUAAUAGGAAAGGUACCAUAAUGAUGCUGCAUAGACUGAGCCAUCAUUUUCUUCAAGUGGAUGAUGGAUGACACACUACAUUAUAUAUACUACUAUAUAGUUUUUGUUGAGAGGUUCAUGAGGUCAUCUAAUUCAAAAUUUGCAAGUUUCUUGAGUACAACCCAUUGAUUCAUUUAUAAAAGAAAGAGAUAAUCAAAGCACCUCCUAGAUUAUGACCGAAAUCUCAGAAACACACUUUAACUAAACUAAGAUCCUACCACUCCCCCACCCCCACCCCCCAAAUCCAUUUUUUUUUUGUAAUUUUAGUACACCUUUUUGGCUUAUGUGGCAUCCAAACAUAUCCCAUGCGGCUCAAUUACGUGGAGUCACAUAGUGUUUCACGUAAGUCAAAAGGUAUAUAAAAUUACAAAAAAAGAGUUUCAGGGGUAAUAAGACCUUAGUUUAGUUAAUGAUGUGUAUCUCUGAGAUUUCGGUUAUAGUCUAGGGGUGCUUAUGCUAAAAGAAAAUAAAAAAUUUGAAACUUUGGAUUAUUCCCUUUUAAAAAUUGUGUCACUCACCAUAUUAUCUCCUAUCUAGAAAUAGUUAGGUCUAGUGUCACUUUGUUGUAUUGUCUCCAUUUUUUUAAAAAUAUUUUGCCAAUGAUUUAACCCUAUACUCAGCCAUAUUUUAUGUGUAAUCCUUUUUCAGAAGGUCCAAGAGGUUUUCAACCCUUCAAUUAAUUAAAGGGUUUAUAAAUAAAUAAAAGCCAUCAAUCAAUUUUGCGAGUAAAUUUUAUCUAGACACUUGAACUAUUACAGAUUUCAACUAAACAUCUAAGUACAUGAUAAAAUAUUUAUGUUAGACAAUUUUGAUUCAAAUUUCAGUAAAAUGAAUUUGUACAUGUCCUCAAGUGUUUAUUAUGUAGUUAAGUUUACUACAUAAAUGACAACUAUUUUAAUUAUACACAUCAACCUCAAUUGGAAUAUGCUUGUAUGAUUAAAACAAGCGAUAUAUUUUAAGUGAUUAAUUUAUUUACAUAAUGAGUACUUGAGAACAUAUACAAAAGUUUUUCAAAACAUUAAACUGAAAGUGUCAAAUAGAAACACUUUAUCAGAUGUUCAAGUACUCAAUUAAAACAAACCAUAAUUUGAAGGUCUAAAUGAAAUUCACUUGAAAAGUUCAAAAGGUUAAAAGGUUAUCGAUGUAUUAAUAAGCCUAAAAUUCAUAUUAUUGCGAGUGCACCAUAUGCUAUGCACCAAUAAUAUUUCAAUUCCAAACUGAUCUAAAACCAUGUCUGGGCAUCCCAAGGCUCAAAUCGAAUCAUACCAAUAAGUCAUAAAUCCUAAUAUCAAGCUAUAAACUAAUUAUGUCCAACCAGAAAAUGAAAGUGUCAGUGGUGGAAAUGAGGAUGCUGAGGUGGAUAUAUAGACAUAUUAUGAGAGAUAAAAUUAUAAAUGAGGAUAUUCGUGGCAAGUGAAAGUGGCCUCCAUGGUGGACAAGAAAAGGAAAUGAGGUUGAGAUGGUUCAGACAUGUAAAGAGGAAAUGCUUAGAUGCCUCAGUGAGGAGGUAUGAGAGAUCGAAAAUAGAGAGUCUAAAAGAGGUAGAAGUAGAUCAAAGAAAUAUAUUGAGGAGAGAUAAUUAGACAGCACGGGACAAAUUUUCACAAAGACAAAAAUAUAAAGUGCUUAUUUUUCAUUUGCUCAAGUUUGGAUGGAAUUAUUCGGUGUUUGUGAUGGUGAAAAGUAAUAGAUACCUAAUACAAUAAUUAAAGUGUGCGCAAACUAGCUAGAAAAACUAUUUUUUUUUAAAAAAGAAAUUAUUGCCAAUAUGGUAAUGGUACAUCCCAACAACAUUGAAAAUAGACAUUAAACCAAAAAAAAUACAAAUAGAGAAGUGUGUGACACAAACACACAAUAAUUGAACUUGCAUUAUCUCUUUAAAAUAACACAAGAGACAAGCCAAAAAGGAAACUAAUAAUUAUCAACCAUUUAUUUAUUUUGAACCACAAACAUUUUACAUUAAUAUUUUUGUUACAAAAUGACCAAUUCAUCAUCACUCAUCAGUACAUGAAGGAAUCAGGAGAAGCCAUAAUAGAUUGAUUCACAUUGAGCAAAUUCCAAGGGUUCAAGAAAUCAUCUAGUUCAUGAUGAUAAUUAAUAGCUAUGUUGCUCGGACUCUGUAAACAUAUUGUCGUUGGGUGAAUGUCAGAUCCUCCAAAAGUACUAGUGCAUUUUUCGAGGCUCCGACUAGAGUUUGUGCAACUUAUGAUUUCAUUUAAAGAUUGUAGCCUUUGGUUUAACUCAACCAAUUGAGCUCUAAGAAUUGAGUUUUCUGCUUCCACAUUUAAGAAAAGAUGUGUCAUCAUGUUUAUAUUUGUUGCAAUUUGAUUGUUUUGUUCCUUAAAUUGAUUUACUUGAGAUGUUAAAUCAUCAGAAAGUUUUUGCUUCCUCAUUCUUGAUCUUCUUGCUGAUUCUCUAUUUGAUAUCAUUCUUUUUCUUUUUCUUUGAUCUAUUACUUGUUGAAGAUCUUCUUGACUUGAUCCUGAAGUAAAAGAAGCCAUAAUUCUAUAGAAUUAAUUGAUGGUGUUGGAACAAGGCAACCUCUUUAUUGGACCCUACGUGGCGCCAAUCUGAAUUAGUAGAGUCGGUAGGCUAAUUUUGUUUGGAUGGUUGAAUCACUUUUAUUGGGUCCUAUGUGAUGUGAAUGUGGAUUGGUCCGGCUUUUAAAAGGCCAUACAUAACGUGAAUCUGGAUUGGUCAGGCUUGUGGAUUCAGGAUGACAGAUGGUCAAAGAACCUUUUAAUAAAUCUUACACGAUGCAAAUCUGAAUUAGUACCUUGAGUUUGUGGAUUCUGAAUAACAGAUUGUUAAAUCACCUCUAAUGGAUUAGUUGGACUAAUUUAUUCCGGACCAAAUGGUUAAACUACAUUUAGUGGAUUCUAUGUGAUGCAAAUCUGAAUCAAUUGUAGUUCCAAUUAUAGGGAAAAAAGAUGAUGGCGUGACUAGGGAAAAGUUAUCAAUGAUGUUCUAAUGGCCCUACGCAACGCGAAUCAGAAUAAAGGUAGAAACUUUUUUUCAUGAGAACAUGUAGAACCAAUAAAGGAAGGACACAGAGAAGGAUUGGACUAAAUGUGUACCACGACGAAGAGUUGAGUUUAUGGUGAAACCGGAAAGAAGGACUUCACUAAUUAUCGGAGACAUGGAUACCAAACAUCAAGAAUCAAAGUAGAACCAAUAUGCCUUAGCAAAAAGAAUCAUGAGCAAUGUCUAGUAGAGUCUUGACGACUUAAAAUAAAAUACAAAUUGGGGAAGAUGAAAAUAAGAGAAGGGGAUAUUAUGGAAGGGGAGUUUUAGAACCUAUAUAAUAUGGAAGAGAUAAGAAAGGAAAAUAAAAUAGGAGAAGUUGAAGAGGUUUAUGGUAGUAUAGGAGAACCAUUUAUAUAGAAUUGUAAGUGCCCAUUGAAGGAAAUAAAAAGGUAGGAUGAGUAUAGGUCAAUUAAAUAUAAAAUUCGAAAGAGUUUUAAGUUAAGACUAAAUGGUCAAAAAUAAUAUUAUUUUUUUGUGAGUUUGAUAGCUUAACCAUUAGUUGUUGUCUUUUUUUUUUUUACAUGAACUAUUAUUAUUCAGGUAUUAAAAUACAUCUAGUUGAGUACUUGGUAAUACUUUAGGUAAGAAAAGGGAACCUAUAUAUUUGGUCUAGUCAGCUUUGAUGUGUGUUUUAAUUCAUAAAGUGAUAGCUUAGAUGUAUAUUUAAUCAUUUUUCUCUUUAUUUGGUUUGUGUGAUAAGGAAAAAUAAUCUCAUAUUAAAAUGCAGGAUUAUUUUAUCUCGAAUUUGUAUGAAUGAUGAGGUUAGUUAUCCCAUAUAGAAGGUGAGAUAGUUAAUUAUAAUAUCCUUGUCUAUCCAAUCUCGAUAACCAAACGACUCCUAAGUAUAAGAAUUUUUAUAUUAUCAAUUAUUUUUAGCUAUUGAAGAAAAUAACUUAUCUUGUUUUUGAGAUUACAAGUAUCGCAUUUUAAGGAAGCAUACUCAUUGAUAUUUUUGAAGUGACAUGAUUGUGUAAUUUAAUUUUUUAUACUGACAAUAUAUAUAAACAAAUAAAUAAAAAAGCUAUAAAACUCUUAUUUAAUUAUUCCAUAAGAUACAUAUUUCAAAAAAUAAUUUCUCGUUUAAUCAAGGUAUGACUAAAUAUUUCGGACAAAUUUUUUUACUCUUUUCUAAAUUUGAUAGAGAAUAAGUACAGAAAAACUCUUUAUUUAUAAUUUUAGUUUGUCCUAACCUAUAACAACAUAUCAUAAAUUCAUAAUCAAUACGUAGGUUACUCGAAUGAUAGCCACCCGUCACCUUUAAUAGUAUAAGGUAGUGUGUUUAAGUCAUCGAAGGAGUAAAAAGGAUGAAAAUUCCUAAAGAGAAGUUUUUUUUAAAAAAAAACUUAAAAAACAUAUUAGUUGACCGCGUCGAGUCCCUCUUGAACUUGUUCUAAAAAGUUGAAUACACACUCAAACUAUUGUGUCGAGCUAUUACAUACUUGUACUACUCCAAAAACUCAUACUAUGCUACGAUUACAAGUGUUACAACUUCUUUUAUUACAAACUUGUACUACUCCAAAAACUCAUAUAUACUACUCCAUCAAUUUCAAAUUAAUUGAAUUGUUGAGACAUUUUUCAUUUUUCAAAUUAACUUAAUUGUUCAAUUUUCAAGACUACUUUUAAAAUGUUUUUUCAAUUUUACCCUUCAUUAGUUAGUAUUGAAAUUAGUUAUUAAUUAAUUUUUAGUUAUUUUAAUCAUAAAUUUGACAGGAUAAAAAUGGAAGUUAUGCCUAAUUUAUGUCUUAAUCUUCUUUUCUUAAAGGGUGUGAAAAAUCUCAACAAUUCAAUUAAUUUGAAAUAGAGGAAGUAUGCUACAAUUAUAAGUGUUACAACUUCUUUUAUUACAUAAAUUCACUUUUAAGUAAUAGUGUAAUAAAUCGUCACAAUAAUUUGAGUGUCCAUUCAACGUUUCGGGACAAGUUCAUUAGGGAGUUGAUGUCUUUUCUCAAAUAUUUAUAUUGCAUCUUGGAUAUUGGAUAUAUUAUUUUGAUCUCGUGAAGACAAGUCAAGGAAGGCAGUCUCUCCGUUCACUUUUAUUCGUUCACAAUAAACUCCGCAGAACUAAUAAAUGAAAUGCAUAUAUUAUUAUGAUACUCAUAUUAGUUGACGCAUAAUUUUAAUGAAUUGAGAAAUUAUUUGGAAUGGACAGUUAAUGCUAUGGGCAAAACAUAAAAAAAUAUUGUCUUUAUUUUAAAUUGUUAAAAACUUUUCAGUUCUUAUUUGGUUGACUAUUCGUCUUUCUGGCUACUCUGUCUUUUGAGUUUCUUCUUCUUCUUUUAAAGUUCACUUAAUUUAUUUUUAACAUACAUUUACCAUUGCACAUUGCAUGCAUACUCUAAUCUUGAUGUCCUUAUGGAAAGAACUGAUCUUAUCAAAGCCUUGAAAUACUAUAAGGUAUAAUAUGAAUAAUUUAACUUUUAUAACUUAGUGUGUAUAUAUAAUUUAGUUUAUUGUAUUUGUGUUUUGCAUGUCUACUUUUUCAUCUACCUAUAUUGUUUCUUUGUUUUUGGCAUAAUACAUAUAUAAACACAUUAGCUUGGCGUCAACUGACAACUUUGAAAAUCUACAUUUACACAUUUUAACUUGGUUUAAGUUGCCCUCCCAUGUGAAUUCUCAUAUAUAGUGCCUAGGGGGUGUUUACGAGGUCAACUUAAACCAAGUUGAGGUAUCUAGAUCAGAGGCAGAGCUAGGUGGGGUUCAUGGGUUCGGAUGAACCCAGUAGCUUAUUCGUAAAUCUUGUAUUUGUACUAGAAAAUUGAAUAAAUAUUUAUAUGUACAUUAACUUGUGAACCCCUAAUAAAAUUGAUUGACAUGGAAAUGCUUUCUAUGCUAGAGUUACGGGUUCGAACCUCACUAUCAACAAAAAGUUAAGUUUCUCUUUUUUUAGAACCCUCAAACUCCUAAUCAUGGCUCCGUUUCUGAUCUAGAUGUGCAUUUUCAAAGUUGGAGUGUUUAGUUGUGAGUCGAGGGCUUGAGGCUAUGUGAUUUGUCUUUGUAAUGCUCUCUUUUUAUGGUUCAAUCCUCUCCAGGAAGCAGUCAAAUUAAAACCUAACUCCGUAGAUGAUUAUUUGGGCAUGGGAAAUGUAUACAAGGUAAGUCCUCUUGCAUUUUGUCAAUAAAGUGACGAAGCCAGUAUUUUCACUAAGAGGGCUCAAAAUAUAAAAAAAUAUUUUUAAUCUUGUAUACAAAUUUAGUUUCAGACGAAGGGGAUUUGGAUGAACCCCUUGCGCCCUCCUAGCUCCGCCCCUGCCCACAAGUUCUUGCACAAGUGAUAUACAAAGAUAAGCAUCUUCAUUGCAUUUUUCAGGAGUUGGGAAUGCUCCAAAAGGCCAUAGUGUGUUACCAGCGCGCAAUCCAAGCGCAACCAGAUUAUGCAAUGGCUUUUGGUGAGACGCCACGUUUACUCUGUUGAGUCCUACUCUUAUAUAGUCUUGGGCAAUCCUCACGUCUUGAGCUAUCUUUGCAGCCUACUUGGCUGAUGUAUACUAUAAACAAGGAAAUCUUGAAAUGGUAAUACGUAAUUAUAGGAGAGCUAUUGCCCGUGAUGCAGAAUUCUUCGAGGCAUAUAACAAUAUGGUACUUAAUUAGUUCAUAAAAUUCCUAUCAUAUAUUAACAUUUUCUUCCUAUAUUAAUUUUGUAUGAUCUCAAAAAUGUUGCUUCUAGGGUCAUGUUCUAAAAGAUGCUGGUGAAGUGCAGGAAGCAAUUCAUUGCUAUCAUGUAACUUUGUGCUUUGUCAUUUGCUUUAAUUUCCUUAUUGUUAAUCUGCUAUGUGACACUUUUUGCUUUUCGAUAAUCAGUUUGACUAAUCGUUGAAGCUAGAGCAGCUCAAUAGUUUAAAACUAAAAUUCUGAUAUUGAAAAACCAUUUGAUAAGUACUAUAAAUUGCAAUUCUUCACAUGUUAAUGUGAUGAAUAGAUACAUUUUAAAAUGUCGGUCAAAUUUCACGUAGUUUGAAUCUCCAGAAGUGAAAAAUGUCACAUAAAUCGGGACAGAAGAAGUAGUUUCUGAUGAAUGCAUGAAGCAAUGCAUUUAUGAUGUUUUUCAACUUUUCUGAUGAAUGCAUGCAGCAAUGCCUCUCUCUUCGAACUGAUCAUCCAGAAAUACUAUCCAAUCUGGGAAACGUUUAUAUGGAGCGGUAAGAUUUUGCUUAACAACAUCGAUUCUCUUCUGGACUAUAUAUGCCAAUCUAAGUAAUUUCGAUGAGCUAUUCAUAUUGACUCUAGGAACAUGAUGAGUGCUGCUACACAAUGUUAUAAAGCUAGUUUAGCUGUCUCAACAGGGCUCUCAACUCCUUUUAAUAAUCUCGGCAUAAUAAAUGUGCAACAGGUAAAUAUUUAGUUACUACAUCCCAAGAAUGUUUAAUUUGCAAAUCAGUACAAAGCAUUUCUUGUACAUUUUUUUGGAUAGCUAGGAGGGACUAUCUUAUUUACGAUCACUAGUGCCAUUUGUGUAUCUGUUUUUUUUUCCGCAGACAUGAAUGUUUUCGUCUUUUCUGAUGUAAUUUUAAGCGAAAUUAUGCACAAGCCAUAUCAUGCUUUAAUGAGUUACUCAGAAUAAACCCCAUGUCAACUAUACGAGAGCUAUUGCCAUAAGACCAACCAUGGAGGAUGUUCAUGCGUUGUUGGCUUCAGCUUACAUGACAAGGUUUUGUUGUUAAGGUUUACAAGCUUCAAAAUUAAAUGGUUCCUUUUAUACAUAAAGUUUUGAUUUUCGGUGUAGUGGCAAUGCUGAAGCAGCUAUAAAAGGCUAUAGAAAAGCUUUGAUGCUAUGUCCUGACUUCCCCGAAGCAACUUGUAAUCUUCUUUACACGUUACAGGUACGUUAUAGGUACUUAUGCAGUUCAUUUAGAAUUCAUGUCAUGAUCUGUUUGCUUAGUCUGAUUAAGAUUCUUGUUUAUAUUUCGUAUUUUCUAGUGUUGUUUGUUAGGAUUUGAAACUUUUAGAGAAGAAAAUAAGGUUCAGCAGCAGAAACUUUCAUACAUAUUCAGCUUUUGAAAGCAUACACACAUAUAUCUACAUAAGCUUUCAAAGUUAGUAGAGGACCAUACAUAUCCAACCACUAUUGACUUUCUUACAAAACAUAUUCCAUAAAACAAGGACUACCUUUCCUUUACAUACUUAACAUAAUAUUUAAGAAAAUAACAAUUAAACAAAAAGACAUCUAGAAAUAUCUCAUUUUCUAACAC